CCAUUUCCUUCUGCGGUAUGUGUCAGCUUGGCUUUUUUUGUAGCUGCACUCUUUAUGUUAAAAUCUGGAACAAGGUUGCGAAGCAUUGGCUUCAAAAUUUAAAUUACAUGCUUAUGUAGGCCGUUCAUCAUGUUUUAUGAUUUAAUUGAACAGAUCAUUGUGGAGUGUAGCAACAAAAAAUGUCAAAUUCAAUUCAAGCUUGGCUUGUGCUAAUAAAUCUAGGUCUAUGUGGUUCACAGGACUCCACAUAUUUCAGCAAUGCACCAUGACGAAACAUCUGAUCUGAAGAUUGUGGCCGAAAAUUUUGAAGAAAACCUAGAGGUACGUCGGCAUUGUGACCAUGUGCUUUGUCAUGUCAUACAGAGGUAUACCUGAGCUGGUUUGAUGAUGUCUACUGCAGAUUACAGGCACAUCCUUGGAGGCUCGUAAGCUGGUCGUUGAAAUCUGUGACAUUGUGGCGACAAGAGCAGCCCGGCUGGCUGCUGCGGGGCUUGCAGGGAUCCUCAUGAAGAUCGGGAGAGAUCACAGCGUCGAGGACCAACGGUCAGUCAUCGCCAUCGACGGAGGACUGUUCGAGCACUACACCAAAUUCCGCCGGUGCUUGGAGACCACACUGGGUGAGCUGCUAGGAGACGAGGCGUCCAAGGCGGUGGCCAUCAAGCAUGCCGACGACGGUUCAGGAAUAGGUGCUGCCCUGAUUGCAGCUUCACAGUCUCAGUACAAAAACGACUUAGUGGCCGUCAAGCAUGCAGAUGACGGUUCAGGAGUCAAGUAUGCAGAAGACAAGCGUGCAGAUGACGGAUCAGAAAUAGGUGCUGCCCUGAUUGCUGCCUCGCAAUCUCAGUAGAGAGAUGUCCGAGUGGUAUAGAGGUAGCAAGUAGCUAUGAUUUGUUUCCAACGUCUUAACUGUCCAGCGUCUGCAGUUUAGCAUGCUAGAGCUGGAUGCGAUCUGUAACCAAAACCAGGCUUGGCCAACUGGCUGUUCAUAAUUCCAAUAACAGCAGGGUUGCAGAUGUCUCCUAACCCCCUACGAUCUUAAAAACUUUUGAAUGUUUAACCAUCAGAGCUUCUUCUAUGCACUGAACCAUCGGCUGUUAGACUUGUGAACAAGGUAGUUUCUAUGUCAUCUUUCUCAUCCUUACCAAAGCUCCACAAACGAGGCCGUGUAAGAGCUAAUACGAUGGUGAGGAAGAGGAUUUGGAAACGGAUUUUGCACAGCGGUCACAGAUACAGAAAGAUCAAUGGAGUUAUCUUCGUUGACAACACCUCUGCGAACGUAAGUGUCCCUGGGCAAAUCUUUAUCCGUUGGAGCUGACGCGACUACACGAGCCCUUGGAUCUGGCAACUGGUGGUUCCAAAAGCUUCGGGGGCAGUCUCAGGCAUCCCCAAGUCCCCCCCUGUAUAUCUUUGCAUUUACACGCUACGGCUGGAUAUUGGCAAUUGCAUAGCGUUGUGCAUGUUCAUAGCUCUAGCAAGGGAACUGUGUCCAUUCAUGAUUAACGACCGGAAUACUUCAAUGUUGCUGUAAUCUUGUAGUGCGUCAGCAGUACUUGCAUUAGUUGCACGUAGAUGCAUUAGUCUAUCGCGUGUGUUACUGCAUGGCAUAUUUGUUUUAGUGUAGAUCACGGCGAGCUGGAGACUGCAUGGCAUAUUUGUUUUAGCGUAGAUCACGGCGAGCUGGAGACUGCACAGUCUGCGUCGUGACCGCGUCGUUCGGGUAUUCGCCGCCACCACCUGUACCGCUGUACGCCGUGCAUGUCGCACGGGCCACCGAAAGAUGAGGGGCUUCGUGCAGCUACGGGGAGUGGCGGGGAAGUCGGAUCACUCCGUGUAAUAAGACUAUGUUAAUGCAUCAGAAAACGGCGCGCGAGUUGCAACCCAAAAACACCUCUGUCUCAGCGUUCGUCCGUCGGCUCUGGUGAUCGCGCUCUGUCGUCGCGCUGCCACAGUUCGUGCUCAUCGCUGGCCACCGUGUUUCGGUUCCAACAUUCCGGUAUCAGAGCCGUGGUUGUAUGCACUACGACAGGUCGGUAUCUCCUCCACAAGAACCGGCGAAGAAGAAGUGCGUCCUCACUCGACGACAACUGUCGAACACCAUGACUUCAACGUCGACCACCGGCAGCGGCGUGAAGGAGAGCUCACUAAUGUGGCCACUUCUCGGCCACGAUAACUACUCCGAGUGGGCGAUGUUGAUGCAGUGCAACCUUGAAGCGAUGGAGAUCUGGGAUGUGAUUGAUCCCGGGAUCAAUCCCAAGCGAGCGCACGAUCGCCAAGCCAUGAGCGCGCUCCUGCGCUCGGUGCCGAAGGAGAUGUGACAGUCGCUCGGCGCCCGGGCGACAGUGAAGGAGGCGUGGGAGGCGGUGAAGUUAAUGAGGCUCGGCGCCGAUCGGGUGAAGGAGGUGAACGCCCAGAAGAUGCUCCAAGAGUUCGAGAACAUCAAGUUCAAGGACGGAGAAUCGGUCGAAGUUUUCAGGAUGCGAAUCACCAACCUCGUCGGCAACCUUCGAGCACUUGGCGAGGUCAUGGAAGAUAUCCGCGUCGUCAAGAAGUUCCUGCGGGUGGUUCCGGCGCGCUUCACCCAGGUAGUUGUCACGAUUGAAAUGUUCUGUGAUCUCAAGCAACUCUCGGUGGACGAACUGGUGGGGCGUCUGCGUGCGGCCGAGGAUCGAUUCGACGACAAGGUCGAACACCUCGUUGAUAAGGCAGGACGGCUCCUUCUCACCGAGGAGGACUGGCUUGAGAAGAACAAACACCGUCUGCGUUCAGGCUACAAGGACGGUGGUGGUGACUCUGACGCUGGCUCCUCGAAAGGCAAGUCGCCGGCACACCACGACGGGAAUGCCUCUGGACCGGUCAAGCUGACCUCCCAGGGCACUCUGCGGCGUAAAGGACGGUGCCGCAACCGUGGGAUCUACGGUCACUGGGUUGAGGACUACAAACGCCCAAAGAGGGGGAAGAAGGAGACACCGACGCCUGAGGCAAAUGUGGCGAUCGGUGGAACUGAACACAAUGGCGCACUGAUGCUGGCCACUUGUGACAUUGUGCACGAUGUGGUUCAGCAUGUUCAUCUGACAGAGAAGACUAUACCAAUUUCAGUUCCUGAAGGUAUGUGGGUCCUUGACACUGGAGCAAGUAAUCACAUGACAGGUACACGGUCGUCGUUGACACAGCUUGACCAAGGUGUUCGGGGAACAGUUUGGUUUGGAGAUGGGUCUGUCGUCAGAAUACAAGGUAUGGGUUCGGUUAUUAUGCAAGGCAGUGGUAAUGGGCACAAGGUGUUAACUGAUGUUUACUACAUUCCUGAACUAAGAACCAACAUAGUCAGUUUGGGUCAAUUAGAAGAAAAAGGCUUUAAGUUUGGAGGUGGAAAUGGAAAAUUAUGUGUGUAUGAUCAAGAACAUAUGCUGUUAAUAGCUGCACCUAGAACUGCAAAUAGGCUCUACACCAUCAAAUUUGGUCUGUCAGCACCUGUGUGUUUGCUGUUAAAUACCAAACACAAGUCAUGGCAGUGGCAUGCUAGAUUUGGUCACCUAAAUUUCAGAGCCCUACAUGAUCUUAGUAGCAAAAACAUGGUUGAUGGCAUGCAAACUGUGAAAAAGGCUGAGCAAGUAUGUGAUGGUUGUGUUCUUGGGAAACAGCAUAGGAAACCUUUUCCAACUGUGUCAAGUUUCAGAGCUGAGAAAGGGUUAGAACUAGUUCAUGCAGAUUUGUGUGGUCAGAUUACUCCUAAAAGUAUAGGUGGUGCCUCAUAUUUUCUUUUAGUAGUAGAUGACCAUAGUAGAUAUAUGUGGGUUGAGAUGCUUAAUACUAAGGAUCAAGCACUAGACUGUUUCAAAAAAGUCAAGCAAAGGGCAGAAGUUGAACUGGGUGGUAGUCUGAAGGCAUUGAGAACAGACAGAGGGGGAGAAUUCACAUCAAACCUGUUUUUAGUGUUCUGCAGUCAGUUUGGAAUCAAACACUACACCACAACUCCAUAUUCCCCUAAGAAAAAUGGGGUUGUUGAGAGGAGGAACCAGUCUGUGGUUGAAAUGGCCAGGUGCCUGCUGAAAUCGAUGAGAGUUCCAUCAAUAUUUUGGGGUGAGGCAGUGAGAACUGCAGUGUAUCUCCUCAACAGAUCACCCACAAAAGCUCUGAAAAAAAAGACUCCUUAUGAAGCUUGGCAUGGAAAAAAGCCCAAAGUGAGUCACCUGAGAAUCUUUGGUUGUGUAGCACAUGUGAAGCGUGUUGGUCCUGGAAUAAAUAAGCUUGCUGACAGAUCCAGCAAAAUGGUAUUUAUUGGCUAUGAGUCAGGAACUAAAGCAUACAGGUUCUUUGAUCCAGCUACAAAUAAGCUGGUAGUUAGUAGAGAUGUGGUAUUUGAAGAAGGGAAACCUUGGGACUGGGACAGUUCAAAGUGCAGCACAGAUCAACAGGAGAAUGACACUUUUAUUGUUCACUAUGAUCUAACUGACCAAAACAUGGCAACAGCUGGGGAUGAUAGUAACCCAACACUGUCAGACCAAAGUACAGGAGGAGAAAAUUCAGUUGGCCGAAGCAGUGGAACAGGACAAGCUAAUGAACCUGCUUCUCCAUACACUCCAAUAUCAAGUAUGAUGCAAAAUCAAGGGAUGGGAACUCCAUCUGUUCAACAAUCAGAGAGCUCAGGGUCAGGACCAAACAGGUUCAGAACAUUGACUGAUUUGUUUGAUGCAACUGAACAAGUGCAUGACUUUUAAAAGAGAAAUAGGCUCAAACCUUUUCCUAUAUAAUUUUGGUGGUUGAAUUGCCCAACACAAAUAAUUAGACUAACUAGUUUGCUCUAGAAUAUAUGUUCUACAGGUGCCAAAGGUUCACAACAAACCAAUACAAAGUUAAAAGAAAGGGUUCAAAAAGAAAUGAGCAAAAUAAACCGAAGCCUGCCCUGGUCUGGCGCACCGGACUGUCCGGUGUGUCACCGGACAGUGUCCGGUGCACCAGGGAGAAUCACUCUGAACUGCUCAGCUUCGGGUUUCUAGAAAAUGCUCUCCGCUAUAAUUCACCGGACUGUCUGGUGUGCCAGCGGGAGCAACGGCUACAGCGCAACGGUCGAGUUCAACGAUCGCUGAUAACGCUAUAGUGCGCGGACUGCGCGCUCAGAAGUCAGAGCAGGCGCAGAAGGCGCACCGGACAGUGAACAGGACCUGUCCGGUGCACCACCGGACUGUCCGGUGGCCCAGCUGUCAGAAGCUCCAACGGUCAAACCCUAACGGUUGGGUGACGUGGCUGGCGCACCGGACAGUGUCCGGUGGCGCACCGGACUGUUCGGUGUGCCCGUCAACAGACAGCCUCCCCAACGGCCAUUUUGGUGGGUGGGGCUAUAAAUACCCCCAACCACCACACUUCAAGGCAUCCAAGUUUUCAGCCAACACAUUCAAUACAAGAGCUAGUGCAUUCAAUACAAGACACAAAUAGAUUGAAUCAAAGCCUCUCUAAGUCCCAAAUUCCACUCAAAGCAAUUAGUGACUAGAGAGAGUUUUGCUCGUGUCUUUGAGCUCUUGCGCUUAGAUCGCUUUUCUUCUUCCUCUUUCUUGUUCUCAAGCAACUUGUAAUCAACGCAAGAGACACCAAGUUGUGGUGGUCCUUGUGAGGGGUCUAAGUGACCCGUUGAUUAAGGAGAAAAGCUCACUCGGUUUAGGUGACCGUUUGAGAGAGGGAAAAGGUUGAAAGAGACCCGGUCUUUGUGACCACCUCAACGGGGAGUAGGUUUGCAAGAACCGAACCUCGGUAAAACAAAUCACCGUGUCACACUCUUCAUUUGCUUGUGAUUUGUUUUCACCCUCUCCUUCGGACUCGAUUUUAUUUCUAACGCUAACCCCAACUUGUAGUGUGUGCUUAAGUUUAUAAUUUUCAGAUUUCGCCUAUUCACCCCCCCUCUAGGCGACUUUCAAUUGGUACCAGAGUCUGGUACUUCAUUAGAGCCUAACCGCUCAAAGUGAUGUCGGGAGAUCACGCCAAGAAGGAGGUCGUGACCGGCGAGAAGCCCGCCGCAAGCCACGGGAAGGCUCCAUCAAGGGAGUCCGGCUCCAAAGGAAAGGGAGAAUCACCUCCCCGCGUCAAGUCGCACCGGAGUGGUGACAAGAAGAAAAUGAAGAAGGUGGUCUACUACGAGACCGAUUCUUCGUCGCCCUCCACCUCCGGCUCCGACGCACCGUCCGUUACUUCUAAGCGCCAUGAGCGCAAGAAGUUUAGUAAGACCCCCCUACACUACCCUCGCAUUUCCAAACAUACUCCAUUACUUUUCGUCCCAUUAGACAAACCACCGGUUUUUUACGGUGAAGAUUAUUGUAUGUGGAGAGAUAAAAUGAGGCAUCACCUAACCUCACUCCACACUAGUAUUUGGGAUGUUGUUGAGUUUGGAGUACAAGUACCAUCCGUAGGGGAUGAAGAUUAUGAUUCGGACGAGGUUGCCCAAAUACGGCACUUCAACUCCCAAGCCACUACUAUACUCCUCGCCUCUCUAAGUCGAGAGGAGUAUAAUAAGGUGCGAGGGUUGAAGAGUGCCAAAGAGAUUUGAGACGUGCUCAAGACCGCGCACGAAGGGGAUGAGGUGACAAAGAUCACCAAGCGGGAAACGGUCAAGGGGAGCUCGGUCGUUUUAUGCUCAACCAAGGAGAGGAGCCACAAGCCAUGUACAACCGGCUCAAGACCUUGGUGAAUCAAGUGUGCAACCUUGGGAGCACAAAAUGGGAUGACCAUGAGAUGGUCAAGGUUAUUCUAAGAUCACUUGUUUUUCUUAAUCCUACACAAGUUCAAUUAAUUCGUGGUGAUCCUAGAUACAAACUAAUGUCUCCCGAGGAGGUUAUAGAAAAGUUUGUGAGCUUUGAAUUGAUGAUCAAAGGCUCCAAACAAAUCAUCGAGCGAGGCGCCACCUCAACACCCGAGGUGCAACCCGUUGCCUUCAAGGCGACGGAGGAGAAGAAAGAUGAGUCUACAUCAAGUAGGCUCUCCAUCGACGCCUCCAAGAUCGACAACGAGGAGAUGGCGCUCAUCAUCAAGAGCUUCCGUCAAAUCCUCAAGCAACGGAAGGGGAAAGACUACAAGCCCCGUUCCAAGAAAGUUUGCUACAAGUGUGGUAAGCCCGGUCACUUUAUAGCAAAAUGUCCUAUUUCUAGUGACAGGGGCGACGACAAGAGGGGGAAGAAGGAGAAGAAGAGAUACUACAAGAAGAAGGGCGGCGAUGCCCAUGUAUGCCGGGAGUGGGACUCCGAUGAGAGCUCCACCGACUCCUCCGACGAGGACACCGCCAACAUCGUUGUCAACAAAGGCCUCCUCUUCCCCAACGUCGGCCACAAGUGCCUCAUGGCAAAUGACGGCAAAAAGAAGGUAAAAUCUAGAGCCUCCACUAAAUAUGCAACAUCUAGUGAUGAGGAUAACUCUAGUGAUGAUGAAGAAAAUUUGGUUGCUCUUUUUUCCAACCUAAACAUGCAACAAAAGGAAAAAUUGAAUGAAUUAAUCAGUGCUAUUCAUGAGAAGGAUGAACUCUUGGAUAGCCAAGAGGACAUCCUUAUUAAGGAAAACAAGAAGCAUGUUAAGGUUAAAAAUGCUUAUGCUCAGGAAGUAGAGAAAUGUGAAAAAUUGACUAGUGAGCUAAGCACUUGUCAUGACACCAUCUCCAACCUUAGAAAUGAGAAUGUUAAAUUAAUUACUAAGGUUGAUAAGUUAGAUGUUUGUGAUGAUUCACCUGUCAAACUUAAAAAUGAUAAUGCUAAUUUGAUUGCUAAAAUUGACAAGUUGAAUAAAUCACUCUCUAGCCUUAAAAUUGAGAAUGAAAAAUUAAUUGCUAAGGCUAAAGAUUUAAAAGUUUGCAAUGAUGUUAUUUCCAAUCUUAGAUAUGAAAAUGUCAUGUUACAUGCUAAGAUUGAUGAUUUAAAUGUUUGCAAACCCUCUACUUCUAGUGUUGAUCAUGUUUCUAUUUGUACUAGAUGUAGAGAUAUUAAUGUUGAUGCUAUUCAUGAUCACCUAGCUUUAAUUAAACAACAAAAUGAUCACAUAGCUCAACUUAGUGCUAAAAUUAAUGAGCAUGCCUUAGAAAAUGAAAAAUUUAAAUUUGCUAGAAGCAUGCUCUAUAGUGGGAGACACCCAGGCAUUAAGGAUGGUAUUGGCUUCCAAUAGGGAGGCAAUGUUAAAAUUAAUGCCUCUAAGAGAUUGUCUAACUUUGUUAAGGGCAAGGCUCCCAUGCCUCAGGAUAACGAGGGCUAUAUUUUAUAUCCUGCUGGUUAUCCUGAGAAUAAGAUUAGGAGAAUUCAUGCUAAGAAGACUCAUUCUGUUUCUCACCAUACUUUUAUUUAUAAGAAUGAGGCUUUUAGCUCUAGCCGUUCUACCCAUGUUAAAAUGCCUAAGAAGAAAUAUCCUAUUGCAUCAAAUGAUCAUAACAUUUCAUUUAAGACUUUUGAUGCUUCUUAUGUGCUUACUAACAAAUCAGGCAAAGUAGUUGCCAAAUAUGUUGGGGGCAAACACAAGGGGUCAAAGACUUGUGUUUGGGUACCCAAGGUGCCUGUUUCUAAUGUCAAAGGAUCCAAGACCGUUUGGGUACCUAAGAACAAGGCCUAAACUUGUUUUGUAGGUUUAUGCAUCCGGGGGCUCAAGUUGGAUCAUCGAUAGCGGGUGCACAAACCACAUGACUGGAGAGAAAAGAAUGUUCUCCUCCUAUGAGAAAAACUAAGAUCCCCAAAGAGCUAUCACAUUCGGGGAUGGAAAUCAAGGUUUGGUCAAACUCAAUUUCAUUUCUAACGCUAACCCUGGCUUGUAGUGUGUGCUUAAGUUUAUAAUUUUCAGAUUCCGCCUAUUCACUCCCCCUCUAGGCGACUUUCAACUUUGAGUACAGUGGAGUGUGCAUGCUGGCAGCCGAUGAACCUGCAUGUGUGGAGCAGGCUCUUUCACAGGACUGCUGGAAAAGAGCUAUGGAGGUUGAACUGAAGUCAAUUCAAGAAAGUCAGACCUGGGAGAUUGCUGAUCUGCCAAGGGAUCACAAGGCUAUAGGACUCAAAUGGGUUUUCAAAGUAAAGAGGGAUCCAACUGGGAAUAUUGUUAAGCACAAGGCUAGAUUGGUAGCUAAAGGAUAUGCUCAAAUCCAGGGGGUGGAUUAUGAUGAGGUUUUUGCCCCUGUGGCAAGGCUAGAGACAGUGAGAAUACUGUUGGCCAUAGCAGCCGAAGGGGAGUGGGAAGUGCAUCACAUGGAUGUGAAGUCUGCAUUCCUGAAUGGAGAUCUCAGAGAAGAAGUUUAUGUACUUCAACCACUAGGCUUUGUGUGUCCUGCAGCCAAAAGAAAGGUGUUAAAACUGAAGAAGGCCUUGUAUGGAUUGAAACAGGCUCCUCAAGCCUGGAAUGCAAAACUUGAUGAGGAGUUGACAAGGCUGGGUUUCAGAAGGAGUGUGGAGGAACAUACUGUUUACAAACGAGGAACAGGUGUAACCUUACUUCUAGUUGGUGUCUAUGUUGAUGAUCUCAUCAUUUGUGGGCCAAACAGCAAUGAGAUAGCUAUCUUCAAGCAACAGAUGAUGAAAAGGUUCAAUAUGUGUGAUCUAGGCCUAUUGAGUUACUACCUAGGCAUACAAGUAAAGCAGAAACCAGGGGAGAUCACUAUCUGUCAGAGUGCAUAUGCUGAAAAGAUACUGGAGAAUUGUGGUAUGCAGGGUUGUAAUCCUGUGGAUACACCAAUGGAGCAGCACCUAAAAUUGUUACCUGGGAAGCCUGAGCUGAUUUUGGAUGCAACAAAAUACAGAAGUCUUGUUGGUAGUUUGAGGUACUUGGUUAACACAAGACCUGAUCUUGCCUUCUCAGUAGGAAUGGUGAGUAGAUUUAUGGAAACACCAAAUGCUGAGCACUGGACAGCCAUCAAGCGAAUUAUCAGGUUUGUUGCAGGAACCAUCCAAUAUGGCUGCAAAUAUUCAAAGGGAGCAAAUGCAGUAUUAGUUGGCUACUCAUACAGUGACCAUGCAGGUGAUCUUGAGAGAAGAAAGAGCACAAGUGGGAUUGUAUUUUUCUUGGGCAACAAUGUCAUCACGUGGUGUUCACAGAAGCAAAGAGUGGUGUCACUGUCAUCUUGCGAAUCUGAAUAUAUAGCAGCAGCUUCAGCAGCCUGUCAGGGGGUGUGGUUGAGCAGGCUAUUGGGGGACCUUAUGUGCACUGAUGUGAAGCAUUUUUGUCUCCUCAUUGACAAUAAAUCGGCUCAAGAACUAAGCAAGAAUCUAGUCUAUCACGAAAGAAGCAAGCACAUAGAUACCAGGUAUCAUUACAUCAGAGAAUGUGUGGGAAAUGGUGUUCUGGAUGUGAAGCAUGUCAGCUCUGAAAAUCAGUUAGCAGAUAUACUUACGAAGCCUCUUGGCAGAAUCUGGUUCACUGAAUUGAGAAGACUGAUCGGGGUGGUCAAGAUUGGAGAGUGACAAGAUUAAGGGGGAGAAAUGUUGUUGUAAUCUUGUAGUGCGUCAACAGUACUUGCAUUAGUUGCACGUAGAUGCAUUAGUCUAUCGCGUGUGUUACUGCAUGGCAUAUUUGUUUUAGCGUAGAUCACGGCGAGCUGGAGACUGCACAGUCUGCGUCGUGACCGCGUCGUUUGGGUAUUCGCCGCCACCACCUGUACGCCGUGCAUGUCGCACGGGCCACCGAAAGAUGAGGGGCUUCGUGCAGCUGCGGGGAGUGGCGGGGAAGUCGGAUCACUCCGUGUAAUAAGACUAUGUUAAUGCAUCAGAAAUCGGUGCGCGAGUUGCAACCCAAAAACACCUCUGUCUCAACGUUCGUCCGUCGGCUCUGGUGAUCGCGCUCUGUCGUCGCGCUGCCACAGUUCGUGCUCAUCGCCGGCCGCCGUGUUUCGGUUCCAACAUUCAGAAACCCCCUGUUGCAGGCUUCAGGAACUAUGUCCAUUCAUAAUCAACUGCAACUAUGCAGCAAGGGUACCGAAACAGGUUCCAGCGAUGGUUCUUGUUUCUCUUAUCCAAGUGCCCAGAUUCAAACCACUAUGAUGCGACAGCACAUGCCUGUCAAACAAGAUGUAACGACAACGCAAUGGGCACAAAUCCUGCUACUCCGCUGUUCUUUAUACCUAAAAAACCAACAAAAACGAAGACGCCAAGAGGGUGCUACCUUUCUGAGUGUAUCUAGGAAGUCUAAAUCCUCGAGAGCACGAACAAAAGCAACCGAAGAAAACCAGCGCUGGCCCGUGUCCCCUGUUCCGCCACGCUGUUGAACAAAGCGCGGAACAGCACACAACACAGCAAGGCAAGGGAGGAAAGACCUACCCUGCCCGCCCCCCGCCGCCGCCGAUCAAGAGAAAACCGCAAAAACGAAGGAAGCGAGAUCACGGACCUUGAACGGAACCAGAUCCGCUGAACAAUGAAGCAGAGCACGAGCACGGUUUGGGGAAGAGGAAAGAACGGGGGCCGUGCAAUCGAGCGCGGAAAUUCGUGCAUGCACCAUGGGCCGCUCCCGUCUUGUACGGUUAGUUGGGCCCUUUAAACGGGCGAUGGGCGAGUUCGAUGCAGGAAACUGGCCCAUAGUCUGGCAUACAACGAUCAGUCGAUCAGGAUUUAGGAAGCAGAUGUUGAUGGGAUGAAAACGAAAAUGAAAUUUUUUUUUGUUACGAGAAAUUGUUUUCUAAAUUUUAUUAAAAUUUCGGUCUAAAUAAAAACAAAACCAAUUAUAGAAAAUAAGAAAGCUGAAAUUGUUUGAGUCUCUCCCUUUUGUUUUCGAAAAUUACUGUUGGAAGCCAAAAAAGGCUGUGCGGACGGUCCGGCCCUGAGGCCGGACGGUCCGCGGUUCGGACUGUCCGCAGUGGUGACGCGGACGGUCCGCGCGUGCGUAGAGUCAGUUAGGGUUCCUAGUUUCUCGCAGGAUUUGUUACCUAAAACCGUGGGAUUGACUCGAAAAUCAGUUCGAAGCGGAUCCAGACCUCCCCUUUAUAUAGAUGAAGGGCUACGGCCGAUUAAACCCCCCAACAAUCGAUCAAAUCAAGUCUAUUACUUGUUUUUACCUUAUGCAUUGGGAGUAGUUCUAGUCUAGCCCUAGUUUAGUAUUCCAAUCCCCAAAUUCUUCGCUUCUCUUCGACUCUACGUCGAUUAGAGGAGUCUAGGUCGGCCUGCCGAGCCUAGACAACCCCUAAAAUCUCUCCUCCCCGACGGGGUCCCUCCUGGGAGCGAGAUCCAGGCGCCGCCGACGACCUUUCGUCGCCCCUACGCACGCGCGGACCGUCCAGCCCCAGGGCGCGGACCGUCCGGCCGUCAGGCAGGGAACUCUAGCCCGCGCCAGGUCGCGGACCAUCCGGCCCCUGGCCGCGGACCGUCCGCGCCUGUGCAGAGAGCACCGCCGCCGGUUCUUGUUGAGUGUUUGGCGCCCGAAAAAGGUGUCAACAUACUUUUUGGCGACUCCGCUAGGGACUAGGUGUCUAGACGUGCUAAAAAUCGGCCUAUAGAUGGCCGGUUCUAAGGAUCACACCAAGAUCUCCACCACCAACAUCAUCAAGCCAGCCAUAGAGGCGCUCCCGGCUGAUGACCAAAGACCCUUUGAAGACCUCAUAAUACGCGAUGAGAAGGAGGUGAUGCGGCAAUGGAACGAACAACGCGACAAGGAAGAGGCGGAACAACUGCAUAAACUCUCCGAACGACGCAAGGAGGCGGCAGAAAAGUACUUGUCACACUUCACGGUGGAUCUGAAAGGGAAAUGUGCCCUUGGGCCAUUUCUAAGUAUUUUGGUGAUUGAGUGCAAACACAAGUGCAUAAAUGUGAAAAUAUGCCCAAGGAUGAACAAAGUGCAAAUCACAAGUUAAGGUAUGUUUCUAAGCCUUAGUACAUUGGUUUUGUGUACUAAUAUAUUUGUCUAAGUGUUAGAAACAGAUAGAAGAAGAGAAGAGAAGACUUGGCUGUGUACAGCCAAGGGGCUGCUUCGGUCUGGGGCACCGGACUGUCCGGUGGUGCACCGGACAGUGUCCUGUGGUGCACCGGACAGUGUCCGGUGCGCCAGGCUGCCUCGGCCGAAGAGGCCGCUCUCGGGUUAUUCUCCGGCGACUUCGGCUAAAAUUCACCAGACUGUCCGGUGUGCACCGGACUGUCCGGUGAGCCAACGGUCGGCCGGGCCAACGGUCGGCCGCGCGAUCGGCGCGCGACACGUGGCCGAGCCAACGGUCGGAAGGAAGCACCGGACUGUCCGGUGUGCACCGGACUGUCCGGUGUGCACCGGACUGUCCGGUGUGCACCGGACUGUCCGGUGCGCCAGAUCUGCAACGAUCGGCAACGGUCGGCUUCGCCAUUUAAGGAAACAAAUCGGGCACCGGACAGUGUCCGGUGUGCACCGGACUGUCCGGUGCGCCCGACGACAGAAGGCAAGGAUAGCCUUCCAGAUGUGUUCUCAACGGCUCCUAGCUGACUUGGGGCUAUAAAAGGGACCCCUAGGCGCAUGGAGGAGGAUACCAAGCAUUCCUACAACUCUUCUAAGCACCAAGACAUCAAUCUCACGCAUUCGUUUCAUUGUGAUAGCAUAUAGAGCUCUUGUGGAGUUGUGAACUCUUUGUGUUGCGUUGCGAGCUCUUGUUGCGACUUGUGUGCGUGGUGUUGCUCUGAUUUUCGAGUCUUGUGUGCGUUGCUCAUUCCCACCUUACUCCGUAUUUCUUUGUGAACUCAAUUGUAAGGGCGAGAGACUCCAAGUUGUGGAGAUUCCUCGCAAACGGGAAAAGAUCAAAGGAAAGAAAAACACCGUGGUAUUCAAGUUGAUCAUUGGAUCACUUGAGAGGAGUUGAGUGCAACUCUCGUCUGUUGGGACGCCACAACGUGGAGUAGGCAAGUUUUGUACUUGGCCGAACCACGGGAUAACCACCGUGUCAACUCUGUGAUUGCUUUCUUGUGGUUAUCGUGUUUUGAGUUCUCUCUAGCCACUUGGCCAUACUUGUACUAACCAUUAACAAGUUUUUGUGGCUUAAGUUUAAGUUUUUACAGGAUCACCUAUUCACCCCCCCCCCCUCUAGGUGCUCUCAAUUGGUAUCAGAGCCAUUCUCUUCAAGAAAGGGACUAACCGCCCGAGGAGAUGGAUCCUAAGGGGAAGGGAAUUGUGAUCAACGACAAGGAGAAGGAGUCCUUCGUCAACGAGCCAAGGGAUGACAAGUCAAAUGACUCGGGCUCGGGCCACAAGCGAAGAGAUGGGAAGAAGAAGAAGACAAGACGCAUCAAGGAGAUCGUCUACUACGACAGCGAUGAGUCCUCUUCUUCCCAAAAGGACGACGACCACGACAAACAAAGGAAACCGGUUAAUUCUAACUUUUCUUUUGACUACUCUCGUAUUCCGCAAAGUUCAAAUUCACAUUUGCUUUCUAUUCCACUCGGCAAGCCCCCACACUUUGAUGGGGAGGACUACGGAUUUUGGAGCCACAAAAUGCGUAGUCACCUAUUCUCUCUCCAUCCUAGCAUAUGGGAGAUUGUAGAUAGUGGAAUGCACUUUAAUAGUUCGGAUAGUCCUAUAUUCAUUAAUGAGCAAAUCCAUAAGAAUGCACAAGCUACUACUGUUCUUCUAGCCUCAUUGUGCAGGGAUGAAUAUAAUAAAGUGAGUGGCUUGGAUAACGCCAAGCAAAUCUGGGAUACCCUCAAGAUCUCUCAUGAGGGAAAUGACGCUACCUUGCUCACCAAAAUGGAGUUGGUGGAGGGCGAGCUUGGACGGUUCGCGAUGAUAAGGGGCGAGGAGCCAACUCAAACAUACAACCGGCUCAAGACCCUUGUCAACAAGAUAAGGAGCUAUGGAAGCACGCGAUGGACGGACCACGACGUCGUCCGCCUAAUGCUAAGGUCCUUUACUGUUCUUGAUCCUCAUUUGGUGAAUAAUAUUCGUGAGAAUCCCAGGUACACCAAAAUGUCGCCCGAAGAAAUUCUUGGAAAAUUUGUAAGCGGGCGGAUGAUGAUCAAGGAGGCAAGGUACGUCGAUGACGCGUUGAACGGUCCAAUCCACGAGCCUCAACCCAUUGCUCUCAAGGCAUCGAGGAGCAAGGAGGCACUACCAAGCAAGGUGGCGCAAAUUGAGGCGGCCGGGCUUAAUGAUGAAGAAAUGACUCUCAUCAUUAAGCGCUUCAAGACGGUGCUAAAGGGUCGCAAUGGACAGCCGAGCAAGACUAAGACCAAGGGGAAGCGAUCAUGCUUCAAAUGCGGUAAGCUUGGUCAUUUUAUUGCUAACUGUCCUGAUAAUGAAAGUGACCAGGAAAAGGGAAACAAGAGGGAAAAGAAGAAGCAUUAUAAGAAGGCAAAAGGCGAGGCACAUCUAGGCAAGGAGUGGGACUCGGAUUGCUCCUCGUCCGACUCCGACAAUGAAGGACUCGCCGCCACCGCCUUCAACAAAUCAACCCUCUUCCCAAACGAGCGUCACACAUGCCUUAUGGCAAGGGAGAAGAAGGUAUGUACUCGCAACUCUACCUAUCCUUCUUCAAGUGAGGACGAAUCUAGUGAUGAGGAUGAAGUAGAUUAUUCAUGUUUGUUCAAGGGCUUAGAUAGAUCUAAGAUAGACAAAAUUAAUGAAUUAAUUGAUGCCUUGAAUGAAAAGAAUAUACUUUUAGAAAAGCAAGAGGAUUUGUUGUAUGAAGAGCAUGAUAAAUUUGUUGAGGCACAAAAAUCCUAUGCUUUAGAAGUUAAAAGAAAUGAAAUGCUUUCUUUUGAACUAUCUACUUGUCAUGAAACCAUUUCUACUUUGAAAGGUGUCAACAAUGAUUUAAAUGCUAAACUAGAAGUAGCAAAUAAAUCCAAUUCUUGUGUAGAACAUGUUGAAAUUUGUACUAGGUGUAAAGAUUUUGACGUUGAUGCUUGUAGUGAACACCUAGUUUCAAUUUCCAAGCUUAAUGAUGAACUGGCUAGUCUUAAUGCUCAACUUAAGACUAGCAAGAAUGAUUUCGAUAAGCUAAAAUUUGCAAGGGAUGCCUACACAAUUGGUAGACACCCCUCAAUUAAGGAUGGACUUGGCUUCAAGAGAGAAGCUAAGAACUUAACAAGCCAUAAGGCUCCCAUUCCCGCCAAGGAGAAAGGGAAGGCCCCUAUGGCUAGUAAUGUGCAAAAGAACCAUGCUUUUAUGUACUAUGAUAGGAGAUAUUCUAGAAAUGCUUUUAGAGGUCAUGAUGUGUUUGAUUCACAUGCUUAUGACUCUUAUGCCAUGACUGCUUCUAGUUCUCAUGUUAUGCAUGGUAGAAAUAUGUCUAGGAGAAAUGCUAUUCAUCAUGUGCCUAGAAAGAAUGUUAUUCAUGCUCCUAGGAAAGUAGUGAAUGAACCGUCUACAAUUUAUUGUACUUUGAAUGCUUCCUUUGCAAUUUGUAGAAAGGAUAAGAAAAUUGUUGCUAGGAAGCUAGGGGCAAAAUGCAAGGGAGACAAAACUUGCAUUUGGGUCCCUAAGGAAAUUUGUAAUAACCUUGUAGGACCCAACAAGAGUUGGGUACCUAAGUCCCAAGCCUAAAUUUGCCUUGCAGGUUUAUGCAUCCGGGGGAUCAAGCUGGAUUAUCGACAGCGGAUGCACAAACCAUAUGACGGGGGAGAAGAAGAUGUUCACUUCCUACGUCAAGAAUAAGAAUUCCCAGGAUUCAAUUAUAUUCGGUGAUGGAAAUCAAGGCAAGGUAAAAGGUUUAGGUAAAAUUGCGAUUUCUAAUGAGCAUUCUAUCUCUAAUGUAUUUUUAGUAGAGAGUCUUGGAUAUAAUUUGCUAUCUGUUAGUCAAUUAUGUCAUAUGGGGUAUAACUGUCUAUUUACAAAUGUAGAUGUGUCUGUCUUUAGAAGAAGUGAUGGUUCACUAGCUUUUAAGGGUGUAUUAGACGGCAAACUUUAUUUAGUUGAUUUUGCAAAAGAAGAGGUCGGUCUAGAUGCAUGCUUAAUAGCUAAGACUAGCAUGGGCUGGCUGUGGCAUCGCCGCUUAGCACAUGUGGGGAUGAAGAACCUUCACAAGCUUCUAAAGGGAGAACACGUGAUAGGUCUAACUAAUGUUCAAUUCGAAAAAGAUAGACCUUGUGCAGCUUGUCAAGCAGGGAAACAGGUGGGAGGCUCUCAUCACACCAAAAAUGUGAUGACGACAUCAAGACCCUUGGAGAUGCUGCAUAUGGACCUUUUUGGACCCGUCGCCUAUCUGAGCAUAGGAGGAAGUAAGUAUGGUUUAGUUAUUGUUGAUGACUUUUCCCGCUUCACUUGGGUGUUCUUUUUGCAGGAAAAGUCCGAAACCCAAGGGACCCUCAAACGCUUCCUCAGGAGAGCUCAAAAUGAGUUUGAGCUCAAAGUGAAGAAGAUAAGGAGCGACAACGGAUCUGAGUUCAAGAAUCUUCAAGUGGAGGAGUUCCUUGAAGAAGAAGGGAUCAAGCACGAGUUCUCCGCUCCCUACACCCCACAGCAAAAUGGUGUGGUAGAGAGGAAGAACAGGACGCUCAUCGACAUGGCGAGGACGAUGCUAGGAGAGUUCAAGACCCCCGAGUGCUUCUGGACGGAAGCCGUUAACACUGCUUGCCACGCCAUCAACAGGGUCUACCUUCAUCGCCUCCUCAAGAAGACGUCGUAUGAGCUACUAACCGGUAACAAACCCAAUGUAUCGUACUUUCGUGUAUUUGGGAGUAAAUGCUACAUUCUAGUGAAGAAGGGUAGAAAUUCUAAGUUUGCUCCCAAAGCUGUAGAAGGGUUUUUGUUAGGUUAUGACUCAAAUACAAAGGCGUAUAGAGUCUUCAACAAAUCAUCGGGUUUGGUUGAAGUCUCUAGCGACGUUGUAUUUGAUGAGACUAAUGGCUCUCCAAGAGAGCAAGUUGUUGAUUGUGAUGAUGUAGAUGAAGAAGAUGUUCCGACGGCCGCUAUACGCACCAUGGCGAUUGGAGAAGUGCGGCCACAGGAACAAGAUGAGCAAGAUCAACCUUCUUCCUCAAUUAUGGUGCAUCCCCCGACUCAAGACGAUGAACAAGUUCAUCAAAAGGAGGCGUAUGAUCAAGGGGGAGCACAAGAUGAUAACGUGAUGGAGGAAGAAGCGCAACCGGCACCUCCAACCCAAGUUCGAGCGAUGAUUCAAAGGGAUCAUCCCGUCGACCAAAUUCUGGGUGACAUUAGCAAGGGAGUAACUACUCGAUCUCGAUUAGUUAAUUUUUGUGAGCAUUACUCCUUUGUCUCUUCUAUUGAGCCUUUUAGGGUAGAAGAGGCCUUGCUAGAUCCGGACUGGGUGUUGGCCAUGCAAGAGGAGUUAAACAACUUCAAGCGCAAUGAAGUUUGGACACUGGUGCCUCGUCCGAAGCAAAAUGUUGUGGGAACCAAGUGGGUGUUCCGCAACAAACAGGACGAGCACGGGGUGGUGACGAGGAACAAGGCUCGACUUGUGGCAAAAGGUUAUGCCCAAGUCGCAGGUUUGGAUUUCGAGGAGACUUUUGCUCCUGUGGCUAGGCUAGAGUCAAUUCGAAUCUUGCUAGCAUAUGCCGCUCACCAUUCUUUCAGGUUGUACCAAAUGGAUGUGAAGAGCGCUUUCCUCAACGGGCCAAUCAAGGAGGAGGUGUACGUGGAGCAACCCCCUGGCUUUGAGGAUGAACGGUACCCCGACCAUGUGUGUAAGCUCUCUAAGGCGCUCUAUGGACUUAAGCAAGCUCCAAGAGCAUGGUAUGAAUGCCUUAGAGAUUUCUUAAUUGCUAAUGCUUUCAAGGUUGGGAAAGCUGAUCCAACUCUUUUUACUAAGACUUGUGAUGGUGAUUUGUUUGUGUGCCAAAUUUAUGUCGAUGACAUAAUAUUUGGUUCUACUAACCAAAAGUCUUGUGAAGAGUUUAGCAGGGUGAUGACGCAGAAAUUCGAGAUGUCAAUGAUGGGCGAGUUGAACUACUUCCUUGGGUUCCAAGUGAAGCAACUCAAGGACGGCACCUUCAUCUCUCAAACAAAGUACACGCAAGAUCUGCUAAAGCGGUUUGGGAUGAAGGACGCCAAGCCCGCAAAGACGCCGAUGGGAACCGACGGACACACCGACCUCAACAAAGGAGGUAAGUCCGUUGAUCAAAAAGCAUACCGGUCAAUGAUAGGUUCGUUGCUUUAUUUAUGUGCUAGUAGACCGGACAUUAUGCUUAGUGUAUGCAUGUGUGCUAGAUUUCAAUCCGAUCCUAAGGAGUGUCACUUAGUGGCGGUGAAGCGAAUUCUUAGAUAUUUGGUUGCUACGCCUUGCUUCGGGCUCUGGUAUCCAAAGGGGUCUACCUUUGACUUAGUUGGAUACUCAGACUCCGACUAUGCUGGAUGUAAGGUCGAUAGGAAGAGUACAUCGGGGACGUGCCAAUUCUUAGGAAGGUCCCUGGUGUCAUGGAACUCUAAGAAACAAACAUCCGUUGCCCUAUCCACCGCUGAGGCCGAGUACGUUGCCGCAGGUCUGAAAGGGAAAUGUGCCCUUGGGCCAUUUCUAAGUAUUUUGGUGAUUGAGUGCAAACACAAGUGCUUAAAUGUGAAAAUAUGCCCAUGGAUGGACAAGUUGCAAAUCACAAGUUAAGGUAUGUUUCUAAGCCUUAGUACAUUGGUUUUGUGUACUAAUAUAUUUGUCUAAGUGUUAGAAACAGAAAGAAGAAGAAGAAGAGAAGACUUGGCUGUGUGCAGCCAAGGGGCUGCUUCGGUUUGGGGCACCGGACUGUCCGGUGGUGCACCGGACAGUGUCCGGUGGUGCACCGGACAGUGUCCGGUGCGCCAGGCUGCCUCGGCCGAAGAGGCCGCUCUCGGGUUUUUCUCCGGCGACUUCGGCUAAAAUUCACCGGACUGUCCGGUGUGCACCGGACUGUCCGGUGUGCACCGGACUGUCCGGUGAGCCAACGGUCGGCCGAGCCAACGAUCGGCCGCGCGAUCGGCGCGCGACACGUGGCCGAGCCAACGGUCGGAAGGAAGCACCGGACUGUCCGGUGUGCACCGGACUGUCCGGUGCGCCAGAUCUGCAACGGUCGACAACGGUCGGCUUCGCCAUUUAAGGAAACAAAUCGGGCACCGGACAGUGUCCGGUGUGCACCGGACUGUCCGGUGCGCCACGAGACAGAAGGCAAAGAUGGCCUUCCAGAUUUGUUCCCAACGGCUCCUAGCUGCCUUGGGGCUAUAAAAGGGACCCCUAGGCGCAUGGAGGAGCACACCAAGCAUUCCUACAACUCUUCUAAGCACCAAGACAUCAAUCUCACGCAUUCGUUUCAUUGUGAUAGCAUAUAGAGCUCUUGUGGAGUUGUGAACUCUUUGUGUUGCGUUGCGAGCUCUUGUUGCGACUUGUGUGCGUGUUGUUGCUCUGAUUUUCGAGUCUUGUGUGCGUUGCUCAUUCCCACCUUACUCCGUAUUUCUUUGUGAACUCAAUUGUAAGGGCGAGAGACUCCAAGUUGUGGAGAUUCCUCGCAAACGGGAAAAGAUCAAAGGAAAGAAAAACACCGUGGUAUUCAAGUUGAUCAUUGGAUCACUUGAGAGGAGUUGAGUGCAACUCUCGUCCGUUGGGACGCCACAACGUGGAGUAGGCAAGUUUUGUACUUGGCCGAACCACGGGAUAACCACCGUGUCAACUCUGUGAUUGCUUUCUUGUGGUUAUCGUGUUUUGACUCCUCUCUAGCCACUUGGCCAUACCUGUGCUAACUCUUAACAAGUUUUUGUGGCUUAAGUUUUUGAAGUUUUACAGGAUCACCUAUUCACCCCCCCCCUCUAGGUGCUCUCAAUUGGUAUCAGAGCCGUUCUCUUCAAGAAAGGGACUAACCGCCCGAAGAGAUGGAUCCUAAGGGGAAGGGAAUUGUGAUCAACGACAAGGAGAAGGAGUCCUUCGUCAACGAGCCAAGGGAUGACAAGUCCAAUGACUCGGGCUCGGGCCACAAGCGAAGAGAUGGGAAGAAGAAGAAGACAAGACGCAUCAAGGAGAUCGUCUACUACGACAGCGAUGAGUCCUCUUCUUCCCAAAAGGACGACGACCACGACAAACAAAGGAAACCGGUUAAUUCUAACUUUUCUUUUGACUACUCUCGUAUUCCGCAAAGUUCAAAUUCACAUUUGCUUUCUAUUCCACUCGGCAAGCCCCCACACUUUGAUGGGGAGGACUACGGAUUUUGGAGCCACAAAAUGCGUAGUCACCUAUUCUCUCUCCAUCCUAGCAUAUGGGAGAUUGUAGAUAGUGGAAUGCACUUUAAUAGUUCGGAUAGUCCUAUAUUCAUUAAUGAGCAAAUCCAUAAGAAUGCACAAGCUACUACUGUUCUUCUAGCCUCAUUGUGCAGGGAUGAAUAUAAUAAAGUGAGUGGCUUGGAUAACGCCAAGCAAAUCUGGGAUACCCUCAAGAUCUCUCAUGAGGGAAAUGACGCUACCUUGCUCACCAAAAUGGAGUUGGUGGAGGGCGAGCUUGGACGGUUCGCGAUGAUAAGGGGCGAGGAGCCAACUCAAACAUACAACCGGCUCAAGACCCUUGUCAACAAGAUAAGGAGCUACGGAAGCACGCGUUGGACGGAUCACGACGUCGUCCGCCUAAUGCUCAGGUCAUUUACCGUUCUUGAUCCUCAUCUCGUGAACAAUAUUCGUGAGAAUCCCAGGUACACGAUGAUGACGCCCGAAGAAGUACUUGGAAAAUUUGUGAGCGGGCGGAUGAUGAUCAAGGAGGCAAGAUACGUCGACGACGCGUUGAACGGUCCACUCCACGAGUCUCAACCCAUUGCUCUAAAAGCAACAAGGAGCAAGGAGUCGCUACCUAGCAAAGUGGCACAAAUUGAGGCGGCCGGUCUUAAUGAAGAAGAAAUGGCCCUCAUUAUCAAGAGAUUCAAGACGGUGCUAAAGGGUCGCAAUGGACAGCCGAGCAAGACUAAAACCAAGGGGAAGCGAUCAUGCUUCAAAUGCGGUAAGCUUGGUCAUUUUAUUGCUAACUGUCCUGAUAAUGAAAGUGACCAGGAAAAGGGAAACAAGAGGGAAAAGAAGAAGCAUUAUAAGAAGGCAAAGGGUGAGGCGCAUCUAGGCAAGGAGUGGGACUCGGAUUGCUCCUCGUCCGACUCCGACAAUGAAGGACUCGCCGCCACCGCCUUCAACAAAUCAACCCUCUUCCCCAACGAGCGUCACACAUGCCUUAUGGCAAGGGAGAAGAAGGUAUGUACUCGCAACUCUACCUAUGCUUCUUCAAGUGAGGACGAAUCUAGUGAUGAGGAUGAAGUAGAUUAUUCAUGUUUAUUCAAGGGCUUAGAUAGAUCUAAGAUAGACAAAAUUAAUGAAUUAAUUGAUGCCUUGAAUGAAAAGAAUAUACUUUUAGAAAAGCAAGAGGAUUUGUUGUAUGAAGAGCAUGAUAAAUUUGUUGAGGCACAAAAAUCCUAUGCUUUAGAAGUUAAAAGAAAUGAAAUGCUCUCUUUUGAACUAUCUACUUGUCAUGAAACCAUUUCUACUUUGAAAAGUGUCAACAAUGAUUUAAAUGCUAAAUUAGAAGUAGCAAAUAAAUCCAAUUCUUGUGUAGAACAUGUUGAAAUUUGUACUAGGUGUAAAGAUUUUGACAUUGAUGCUUGUAGUGAACACCUAGUUUCAAUUUCCAAGCUUAAUGAUGAACUGGCUAGUCUUAAUGCUCAACUUAAGACUAGCAAAAGUGAUUUUGAAAAACUAAAAUUUGCUAGGGAUGCCUACACGGUUGGUAGACACCCCUCAAUUAAGGAUGGACUUGGCUUCAAAAGGGAAGCCAAGAACUUAACAAGCCAUAAGGCUCCCAUUCCCGCCAAGGAGAAAGGGAAGGCUCCUAUGGCUACUAGUGCUAAAAGGAACCAUGCAUUUUUGUAUCAUGAUAGAAGACAAACUAGAAAUGUAAGUCAUGAUGCUUUUGAUUCAUAUGUUUAUGAUUCUCAUGCCAUGUUUGCUCCUAGUUCCUCUUAUGUGUAUGAUAGAAAUGUUACUAGGAGAAAUGUUGUUCCUAAAAGAAAUGCUAUUCAUCAUGUGCCUAGAAGGAAUGUUAUUCAUGCUCCUAGGAAAGUAGUGAAUGAAUCUUCUACAAUUUAUUGUGCUUUGAAUGCUUCAUUUGCAAUUUGUAGAAAGGAUAGAAAAGUAAUUGCUAGGAAGUUAGGGGCAAAAUGCAAAGGUGAUAAAACUUGCAUUUGGGUCCCUAAGGAAAUUGUGACUAACCUUGUAGGACCCAACAAGAGUUGGGUACCUAAGUCCCAAGCCUAAAUUUGCCUUGCAGGUUUAUGCAUCCGGGGGUUCAAGCUGGAUUAUCGACAGCGGAUGCACAAACCAUAUGACGGGGGAGAAGAAGAUGUUCACCUCCUACGUCAAGAAUAAAGAUUCCCAAGAUUCAAUUGUAUUCGGUGAUGGGAAUCAAGGCAAGGUAAAAGGUUUAGGUAAAAUUGCAAUUUCUAAUGAGCACUCCAUAUCUAAUGUAUUUUUAGUAGAGAGUCUUGGAUAUAAUUUGCUAUCUGUUAGUCAAUUAUGUCAUAUGGGGUAUAACUGUCUAUUUACAAAUGUAGAUGUGUCUGUCUUUAGAAGAAGUGAUGGUUCACUAGCUUUUAAGGGUGUAUUAGACGGCAAACUUUAUUUAGUUGAUUUUGCAAAAGAAGAGGCCGGUCUAGAUGCAUGCUUAAUGGCUAAGACUUGCAUGGGCUGGCUGUGGCAUCGCCGCUUAGCACAUGUGGGGAUGAAGAACCUUCACAAGCUUCUAAAGGGAGAACACGUGAUAGGUCUAACCAAUGUUCAAUUCGAAAAAGAUAGACCUUGUGCAGCUUGUCAAGCAGGGAAACAGGUGGGAGGAGCGCAUCACAGCAAGAAUGUGAUGACCACUUCAAGACCCCUGGAGCUGCUGCAUAUGGACCUCUUCGGACCCGUCGCCUAUCUAAGCAUAGGGGGGAGUAAGUAUGGUCUAGUUAUUGUAGAUGAUUUUUCCCGCUUCACUUGGGUGUUCUUUUUGCAGGAUAAGUCUGAAACCCAAGGGACCCUCAAGCGCUUUCUCAGGAGAGCUCAAAAUGAGUUUGAGCUCAAAGUGAAGAAGAUAAGGAGCGACAACGGGUCCGAGUUCAAGAACCUUCAAGUGGAGGAGUUCCUUGAAGAUGAAGGGAUCAAGCACGAGUUCUCCGCUCCCUACACACCACAGCAAAAUGGUGUGGUAGAGAGGAAGAACAGGACGCUCAUCGACAUGGCGAGGACGAUGCUAGGAGAGUUCAAGACCCCCGAGUGCUUUUGGACGGAAGCCGUGAACACGGCAUGCCACGCCAUCAACAGGGUCUACCUUCAUCGCCUCCUCAAGAAGACGUCGUAUGAGCUACUAACCGGUAACAAACCCAAUGUAUCGUACUUUCGUGUAUUUGGGAGUAAAUGCUACAUUCUAGUGAAGAAGGGUAGAAAUUCUAAGUUUGCUCCCAAAGCUGUAGAAGGGUUUUUAUUAGGUUAUGACUCAAAUACAAAGGCGUAUAGAGUCUUCAACAAAUCAUCGGGUUUGGUUGAAGUCUCUAGCGACGUUGUAUUUGAUGAGACUAAUGGCUCUCCAAGAGAGCAAGUUGUUGAUUGUGAUGAUGUAGAUGAAGAAGAUGUUCCGACGGCCGCUAUACGGACCAUGGCGAUUGGAGAAGUACGGCCACAGGAACAAGAUGAUCAAGAUCAACCCUUUUCCUCAAUUAUGGUGCAUCCCCCGACUCAAGACGGUGAACAGGUUCAUCAAAAGGAGGCAUGUGAUCAAGGGGGAGCACAAGAUAAUCAUGUGAUGGAGGAAGAAGCGCUACCGGCACCUCCAACCCAAGUUCGAGCGAUGAUUCAAAGGGAUCAUCCCGUCGACCAAAUUCUGGGUGACAUUAGCAAGGGAGUAACUACUCGAUCUCGAUUAGUUAAUUUUUGUGAGCAUUACUCCUUUGUCUCUUCUAUUGAGCCUUUCAGGGUAGAAGAGGCCUUGCUAGAUCCGGACUGGGUGUUGGCCAUGCAAGAGGAGUUAAACAACUUCAAGCGCAAUGAAGUUUGGACACUGGUGCCUCGUCCGAAGCAAAAUGUUGUGGGAACCAAGUGGGUGUUCCGCAACAAACAGGACGAGCACGGGGUGGUGACGAGGAACAAGGCUCGACUUGUGGCAAAAGGUUAUGCCCAAGUCGCAGGUUUGGACUUUGAGGAGACCUUUGCUCCUGUGGCUAGGCUAGAGUCCAUUCGUAUUUUGCUAGCAUAUGCCGCUCACCAUUCUUUCAGGUUGUACCAAAUGGAUGUGAAGAGCGCUUUCCUCAACGGGCCAAUCAAGGAGGAGGUGUACGUGGAGCAACCCCCUGGCUUCGAGGAUGAACGGUACCCCGACCACGUGUGUAAGCUCUCUAAGGCGCUCUAUGGACUUAAGCAAGCCCCAAGAGCAUGGUAUGAAUGCCUUAGAGAUUUCUUAGUUGCUAAUGCUUUCAAGGUUGGGAAAGCCGAUCCAACUCUUUUUACAAAGACAUGUGAUGGUGAUUUGUUUGUGUGCCAAAUUUAUGUCGAUGACAUAAUAUUUGGUUCUACUAACCAAAAGUCUUGUGAAGAGUUUAGCAGGGUGAUGACGCAGAAAUUCGAGAUGUCGAUGAUGGGCGAGUUGAACUACUUCCUUGGGUUCCAAGUGAAGCAACUCAAGGACGACACCUUCAUCUCCCAAACGAAGUACACGCAAGAUCUGCUAAAGCGGUUUGGGAUGAAGGACGCCAAGCCCGCAAAGACUCCGAUGGGGACCGACGGACACACCGACCUCAACAAAGGAGGUAAGUCCGUUGAUCAAAAAGCAUACCGGUCAAUGAUAGGUUCUUUGCUUUACUUAUGUGCUAGUAGACCGGAUAUUAUGCUUAGCGUAUGCAUGUGUGCUAGAUUUCAAUCCGAUCCUAAGGAGUGUCACUUAGUGGCGGUGAAGCGAAUUCUUAGAUAUUUAGUUGCUACGCCUUGCUUCGGGCUCUGGUAUCCAAAGGGGUCUACCUUUGACUUAGUUGGAUACUCAGACUCCGACUAUGCUGGAUGUAAGGUCGAUAGGAAGAGUACAUCGGGGACGUGCCAAUUCUUAGGAAGGUCCCUGGUGUCAUGGAACUCUAAGAAACAAACCUCCGUUGCCCUAUCCACCGCUGAGGCCGAGUAUGUUGCCGCAGGACAGUGUUGCGCGCAACUACUUUGGAUGAGGCAAACCCUCAGGGACUUUGGCUACAAUCUGAGCAAAGUCCCACUCCUAUGUGACAAUGAGAGUGCUAUCCGCAUGGCGGAAAAUCCUGUUGAACACAGCCGCACAAAGCACAUAGACAUCCGGCAUCACUUUUUGAGAGACCACCAGCAAAAGGGAGAUAUCGAAGUGUUUCAUGUUAGCACCGAGAACCAGCUAGCCGAUAUCUUCACUAAGCCUCUAGAUGAGAAGACCUUUUGCAGGUUGCGUAGUGAGCUAAAUGUCUUAGAUUCACGGAACUUGGAUUGAAUUGUAGCAUACAUGUGUUUAUGCAUUUGAUCAGGUUCAUUCUGCAUUUUGUUGCUUAUUGUGGUGCUCAAGUUGUACCAACACUCCCUGGACCUCACAAGUCCGUUGCAAAGUGAUGCACAUGUUUAGGGGGAGAUGUGUUACAACUUGACCCUUUGAGACUAACCAUUUGCUUGAGUUUGCUUGAUUUAGUCUCGAAGGAGGAUUGAAAGGGAAAAGGUGGACUUGGACCAUGAAAGACUUCCACUGCACUCCGAUGAGAGGGUAACUAAUUCCAAGUUCAUCUCAUGAAAUCUUAUUGCCAUUUGCUCUUAAUUGAAGACUUUGGUGAGGCAAUGGGGUUAAAAGGCCAAGAUUAAUCCCGUUUUGGUGCUUGAUGCCAAAGGGGGAGAAAAUAAAGGCCAAAGUGAUAAAUGGAUCAGCUACCACUUGAGAGAUUUUGAAAAUAGUAGAAUAGAGUUUUUGUUUUGUCAAAAGCUUUUAGUGUCUCUUUUAUUGUCUCUCUUGUCAAAAGUUGGCUUCUUGUGGGGAGAAGUAUUGAUUAUGGGGAAUAGGGGGAGUUUUUGAAAUCUUUGAUCAAUCUCUUUUGGAAUGACUCUCUUUAUGCUUCAACAUGUGUGUUUGACAUAGAAAUAGAGAUUUGAGUUUGAUUUGCAAAAACAAACCAAGUGGUGGCAAAGGAUGAUCCAUAUAUGCCAAAAUUGAAUAAAACCAAUUUGAGUUUUUAUUUGAAGUGAUUUUGCACUUGUUCUAGUUGCUUUAUGUUGUGUUGGCAUAAAUCACCAAAAAGGGGGAGAUUGAAAGGGAAAUGUGCCCUUGGGCCAUUUCUAAGUAUUUUGGUGAUUGAGUGCAAACACAAGUGCUUAAAUGUGAAAAUAUGCCCAUGGAUGGACAAGUUGCAAAUCACAAGUUAAGGUAUGUUUCUAAGCCUUAGUACAUUGGUUUUGUGUACUAAUAUAUUUGUCUAAGUGUUAGAAACAGAAAGAAGAAGAAGAAGAGAAGACUUGGCUGUGUGCAGCCAAGGGGCUGCUUCGGUUUGGGGCACCGGACUGUCCGGUGGUGCACCGGACAGUGUCCGGUGGUGCACCGGACAGUGUCCGGUGCGCCAGGCUGCCUCGGCCGAAGAGGCCGCUCUCGGGUUUUUCUCCGGCGACUUCGGCUAAAAUUCACCGGACUGUCCGGUGUGCACCGGACUGUCCGGUGAGCCAACGGUCGGCCGAGCCAACGGUCGGCCGCGCGAUCGGCGCGCGACACGUGGCCGAGCCAACGGUCGGAAGGAAGCACCGGACUGUCCGGUGUGCACCGGACUGUCCGGUGCGCCAGAUCUGCAACGGUCGGCAACGGUCGGCUUCGCCAUUUAAGGAAACAAAUCGGGCACCGGACAGUGUCCGGUGUGCACCGGACUGUCCGGUGCGCCACGAGACAGAAGGCAAAGAUGGCCUUCCAGAUUUGUUCCCAACGGCUCCUAGCUGCCUUUGGGCUAUAAAAGGGACCCCUAGGCGCAUGGAGGAGCACACCAAGCAUUCCUACAACUCUUCUAAGCACCAAGACAUCAAUCUCACGCAUUCGUUUCAUUGUGAUAGCAUAUAGAGCUCUUGUGGAGUUGUGAACUCUUUGUGUUGCGUUGCGAGCUCUUGUUGCGACUUGUGUGCGUGUUGUUGCUCUGAUUUUCGAGUCUUGUGUGCGUUGCUCAUUCCCACCUUACUCCGUAUUUCUUUGUGAACUCAAUUGUAAGGGCGAGAGACUCCAAGUUGUGGAGAUUCCUCGCAAACGAGAAAAGAUCAAAGGAAAGAAAAACACCGUGGUAUUCAAGUUGAUCAUUGGAUCACUUGAGAGGAGUUGAGUGCAACUCUCGUCCGUUGGGACGCCACAACGUGAAGUAGGCAAGUUUUGUACUUGGCCGAACCACGGGAUAACCACCGUGUCAACUCUGUGAUUGCUUUCUUGUGGUUAUCGUGUUUUGACUCCUCUCUAGCCACUUGGCCAUACCUGUGCUAACUCUUAACAAGUUUUUGUGGCUUAAGUUUUUGAAGUUUUACAGGAUCACCUAUUCACCCCCCCCCCCUCUAGGUGCUCUCAAGGUCAGUGUUGCGCGCAACUACUUUGGAUGAGGCAAACCCUCCGGGACUUUGGCUACAAUCUGAGCAAAGUCCCACUCCUAUGUGACAAUGAGAGUGCUAUCCGCAUGGCGGAAAAUCCUGUUGAACACAGCCGCACAAAGCACAUAGACAUCCGGCAUCACUUUUUGAGAGAUCACCAGCAAAAGGGAGAUAUCGAAGUGUUUCAUGUUAGCACCGAGAACCAGCUAGCCGAUAUCUUCACUAAGCCUCUAGAUGAGAAGACCUUUUGCAGGUUGCGUAGUGAGCUAAAUGUCUUAGAUUCGCGGAACUUGGAUUGAAUUGUAGCAUACAUGUGUUUAUGCAUUUGAUCAGGUUCAUUCUGCAUUUUGUUGCUUAUUGUGGUGCUCAAGUUGUACCAACACUCCCUGGACCUCACAAGUCCGUUGCAAAGUGAUGCACAUGUUUAGGGGGAGAUGUGUCACAACUUGACCCUUUGAGACUAACCAUUUGCUUGAGUUUGCUUGAUUGAGUCUCGAAGGAGGAAUGAAAGGGAAAAGGUGGACUUGGACCAUGAAAGACUUCCACUGCACUCCGAUGAGAGGGUAACUAAUUCCAAGUUCAUCUCAUGAAAUCUUAUUGCCAUUUGCUCUUAAUUGAAGACUUUGGUGAGGCAAUGGGGUUAAUAGGCCAAGAUUGAUCCCGUUUUGGUGCUUGAUGCCAAAGGGGGAGAAAAUAAAGGCCAAAGUGAUAAAUGGAUCAGCUACCACUUGAGAGAUUUUGAAAAUAGUAGAAUAGAGUUUUUGUUUUGUCAAAAGCUUUUAUUGUCUCUUAUUGUCUCUAGUGUCAAAAGUUGGCUUCUUGUGGGGAGAAGUAUUGAUUAUGGGAAAUAGGGGGAGUUUUUGAAAUCUUUGAUCAAUCUCUUUUAGAAUGACUCUCUUUAUACUUCAACGUGUGUGUUUGACUUAGAGAUAGAGAUUUGAGUUUGAUUUGCAAAAACAAACCAAGUGGUGGCAAAGGAUGAUCCAUAUAUGCCAAAAUUGAAUAAAACUCAAAGUUAGUUUUUAUUUGAAGUGAUUUUACACUUGUUCUAGUUGCUUUAUGUUGUGUUGGCAUAAAUCACCAAAAAGGGGGAGAUUGAAAGGGAAAUGUGCCCUUGGGCCAUUUCUAAGUAUUUUGGUGAUUGAGUGCAAACACAAGUGCUUAAAUGUGAAAAUAUGCCCAAGGAUGAACAAAGUGCAAAUCACAAGUUAAGGUAUGUUUCUAAGCCUUAGUACAUUGGUUUUGUGUACUAAUAUAUUUGUCUAAGUGUUAGAAACAGAUAGAAGAAGAGAAGAGAAGACUUGGCUGUGUACAGCCAAGGGGCUGCUUCGGUCUGGGGCACCGGACUGUCCGGUGGUGCACCGGACAGUGUCCGGUGGUGCACCGGACAGUGUCCGGUGCGCCAGGCUGCCUCGGCCAAAGAGGCCGCUCUCGGGUUAUUCUCCGGCGACUUCGGCUAAAAUUCACCAGACUGUCCGGUGUGCACCGGACUGUCCGGUGAGCCAACGGUCGGCCGGGCCAACGGUCGGCCGCGCGAUCGGCGCGCGACACGUGGCCGAGCCAACGGUCGGAAGGAAGCACCGGACUGUCCGGUGUGCACCGGACUGUCCGGUGCGCCAGAUCUGCAACGGUCGGCAACGGUCGGCUUCGCCAUUUAAGGAAACAAAUCGGGCACCGGACAGUGUCCGGUGUGCACCGGACUGUCCGGUGCGCCCGACGACAGAAGGCAAGGAUAGCCUUCCAGAUGUGUUCUCAACGGCUCCUAGCUGACUUGGGGCUAUAAAAGGGACCCCUAGGCGCAUGGAGGAGGAUACCAAGCAUUCCUACAACUCUUCUAAGCACCAAGACAUCAAUCUCACGCAUUCGUUUCAUUGUGAUAGCAUAUAGAGCUCUUGUGGAGUUGUGAACUCUUUGUGUUGCGUUGCGAGCUCUUGUUGCGACUUGUGUGCGUGGUGUUGCUCUGAUUUUCGAGUCUUGUGUGCGUUGCUCAUUCCCACCUUACUCCGUAUUUCUUUGUGAACUCAAUUGUAAGGGCGAGAGACUCCAAGUUGUGGAGAUUCCUCGCAAACGGGAAAAGAUCAAAGGAAAGAAAAACACCGUGGUAUUCAAGUUGAUCAUUGGAUCACUUGAGAGGAGUUGAGUGCAACUCUCGUCCGUUGGGACGCCACAACGUGGAGUAGGCAAGUUUUGUACUUGGCCGAACCACGGGAUAACCACCGUGUCAACUCUGUGAUUGCUUUCUUGUGGUUAUUGUGUUUUGAGUUCUCUCUAGCCACUUGGCCAUACUUGUACUAACCAUUAACAAGUUUUUGUGGCUUAAGUUUAAGUUUUUACAGGAUCACCUAUUCACCCCCCCCCUCUAGGUGCUCUCAGGAUCGCCACCAGAAGAUCAUCCGUCAAGGGGAGAUCGAUAUGGAAUCUCUCCUACCUCCACUUCAGGGUCCCGCUGUAAGUACUCCAGAUCUAUCUCUUACGACUUUCAUGGAUCAACGAGGAGAUCAGUUAAAGCAAUAUGUAGAUGAAUCUAUUAAAAUGCAUUUACGUGCAUACGAGAAAUCAGCUGCUCCUAGCUUUCCAUCGCGAGAGUCUAAUUCAGAGCCACCCGCGUCAAACACAUCGGCUAUAAACGGGUCGCCCUUGACCCAGCCAUCAUAUGGUAUGCCGAUGCACACUUUCGUGUCACCAUCACAGCCGCAACCACUAGGCACGCGACAGGUACUGGACACGACCGGACCGUCCGAGCAUCAUCUCAGACAGUCCGAUUAUACCGCGGACCGUCCGGCGUAUUUCGCCGGACCAUCCGACCAGAUGCGCAGCAUACAACUCCCCGUUGUACUGCGCUCUUCAAGUGUGCUUCUUCCCCCUUCUCCCCCUUACCACGGCAAGUCCUUGGGAAAUAACUCCGAUGGGCAGAAAAAAGAAGGGGUUAAGAGACCCUCCUGGCCCAACCCUAGACACUCUAAGAUCCUUUUUCAAACCUGCUCUGCUCCCAUUUCGAGUCAAGAGAUAGAUAAAUAGCCACAUCCCAUUGCACUGAUCGGGGGCGCUCGUAGUCAUGCCCGCACACAAAACACUCAGGUCGCACCAUACAUGGCCGGACCACCAGGGUACAACCCCGAACAAUUCGGCCCCAUCACGGACCGUCCGGUGCAUCACACCGGACUGUCCGGAUAUGUUGCGGACCUUCCGCCAUCUUACGUCGGACCGUCCGGAUAUGGCAUGAAUCGGCCGACGUAUUAUGCCGGGCCAUCUGACUCUACACGAGUCCACACGCGGACUGCCCAAGUCGCGCCAUAUAUGACCGAUCCGUCCGGGUACAGCCCUGGACCAUUCGGACCGAUCGCGGACCGUCCAGUUCUUUACGACAGACGGUCUGGGUACGAGACUACCCACGUAGCACCAUAUACGGCUGGACAAUCCGGAUAUACCUUCGGACCAUUUGGCCAGGUCGCGGACCAUCCGACCUCUUACGCCGGACCGUCCGGAUAUGCAUACGCAGAGCCGAGAGCUGUGCAAUACGCACAGUUCCCACAUUCAUCGCAGCAACAUCAUGGUGCCCCACCGGUAACACAUUAUAAUCAUGCCAUACCACCUCAUGGACAUAGGGCUGAAUACUGUUCGGUCACAAGAGAGCCUGAGAGGUAUAGGGCAGGAGCUGGUGACAUUAAUAGGACACCUAGCACACACCUCAAACAUCCCUGGGAGGAAAUCCGACAGAGUGAUGUCAGGCAACCUGAGAUUUCCACCCACAAACUCAAUGAAUGGUCGCUAGACAUGGCGGAGAGGAUCAGAGACGAGGUAGCCGGGAUGUUCAGGGACAAACUCGGUGUUAGUGUGCCAGGUACAGGGCAAUCGUAUCGGAAGCCUUAUAGCCACCGAUUCGACACCGUGUCAUAUCCACAGGGAACUAGAAUACCAGACUUCUCUAAAUUUUCUGGUGAAGGUGGGAAAAGCACACACGAACAUAUAAGCCAAUUCAUAGCACACUUGGGAGAAUUGGCUUAUGGGGAAGCCUACCGCGUUCGUUUAUUCCCGUUGUCCCUUACUGAUACUGCAUUCGCAUGGUACGCAGCCUUGCCACCAAACUCUAUUAACUCUUGGGAAGAAUUAGAGCAGAAAUUUCAUGAACACUUCUUCUCAGGAGAACAUGAAUUAGAAUUGGCUGACUUAGCCUCAGUCCGACAGGGGCCUGAAGAAUCGGUUAAUGACUAUAUCCGGAGAUUCCGGGACACUAGAAACCGAUGUUUUCAGAUCCAUGUCGCAGAAAAACAACUAACAGGGCUGGCUUUCAAUGGGUUGCGACCCUACUUAAAAGAAAAAUUAGAUGACACUCAAUUCUUUUCGCUAGUACACUUGCACCAGCGGGCUAUGACCUGUGAAAGCCGAAGUAAGGAAACAUCAAAAUCGGCUAGCCAUAAGAUGCAUCUAGUGGGAUACGAUAAUUCGGACGAUGAAUCCACGGAUGUAUACACCGCCGAACUAGUUUGGCCAGGACAGGCUAAACCUUCCGCAUGUUCUGCUUUACAGUCGAUUCGAAAGAAUCGACAAGAAGAAGUUAAGUUUACUUUUAAUGUUGCCAAAUACGAUAAAAUAUUUGACGAGUUACUAAAAAACGGCAACAUUAAGUUAACUCAUACUAUUCCUCCUCCUGAUGAAUUAAAGAGGCAUGCUUAUUGUAAGUGGCAUAAUUCCUUUUCUCAUGCCACCAAUGAUUGUAAUGUUUUUCGUCGACAGAUACAAUCGGCCAUAAAUGAGGGCCGAUUGGCUUUUCAGGAGAUGCAAGUAGACACACAACCUUUUCCUGUUAAUACAAUAGAACUCACAUGCAAAAAGGUCUUGGUUCGGCCCGAAAUGGCCGAUAAAGGCCAAGGCAAAGGCAUCGUCAUUAGCGAUCCUCGCAUGUCACUUAUAUCACAAAAGGAGAUUGCUCGAAAGGCUUCGGACGAGAAGGCUAAAAAGUCCGAAGACGCCGGGGCAGGCACAAUUAAUGAACUAAACUCAUCAGCCUAGCCCGAGCAUCGCAAAUGGUCCGGCACCUACGUGCGGACGGUCCGGUGCUCAGAUAAACGGUCCGGCUAACUCAGCCGGACAGUCCACUUAUGACCAAAGGCAUCAGCCUCUACACGAAGCAAGGAAAAAGACGCAAGGUCAAAGCACAUAUAGUCGGCUGAUCAAAGCCGACCCUACUUUUGAUCAGUUGCUCUCCAAAAAUGCUAGCAAAAAGACUGUUCCACGUGAUCGGUCAACAAAGAAACCUCGGUCACCUGCUAAAACGAAAUGGCCGAACAAAAUGGCCCAAAAGGCGACGCGACAAGCAUCGCCUAUUCAUCCUAUGAGACCAGGGUACUUUCCACCUGUUUAUUCAUCGUCGGUAUAUUGUCCUACUCAAAUGUGGAAUGGCAUGACGAUGAAUCCAUGGUACAUGUAUAGUCCCUUUGUCUAUCUAGGCUGGGGGGCACCUCCAUUCUAUUCAUUCUGAUGCAUUGAUCAAAUGGUCGUGGCCAAGAAAGAUACAAUCCAAAACGGCCUUUAUACAUUGGUGCUUUAUUGAAUGAUCUCUAUUUUGAAAAGCCGGUGACUUACAUCAGGUUUAGUUCAUAUGCUUUUGGUUCGUUAACCUUCACCAAAAGGCAGGGGCAUAUGUUGGAAGCCAAAAAAGGUUGUGCGGACGGUCCGGCCCUGAGGCCGGACUGUCCGCGGUGGUGACGCGGACGGUCCGCGCGUGCGCAGAGUCAGUUAGGGUUCCUAGUUUCUCGUGGGAUUUGUUACCUAAAACCGUGGGAUUGACUCAGAAAUCAGUUCGAAGCGGAUCCAGACCUCCCCCUUUAUAUAGAUAAAGGGCUACGACCAAUUGAACCCCCCAACAAUCGAUCAAAUCAAGUCUAUUACUCGUUUUUACCUUAUGCAUUAGGAGUAGUUCUAGUCUAGUUCUCGUUUAGCCCUAGUUUAAUAUUCCAAUCCCCAAAUUCUUCGCUUCUCUUCGACUCUACGUCGAUUAGAGGAGUCUAGGUCGGCCUGCCGAGCCUAGACAACCCCUAGGAUCUCUCCUCCCCGACGGGGUCCCUCCCAGGAGUGAGAUCCAAGCACCGCAGGCGACCUUUCGCCGCCCCUACGCACGCGCGGACCGUCCGGCCCCAGGGUGCGGACCGUCCGGUUAUCAGGCAGGGAACCCUAACCCUGCGCCAGGCCGCGGACCGUCCGCGCCUGUGCAGAGAGCACCGCCGCCGGUUCUUGUUGAGUGUUUGGCACCCGAAAAAGGUGUCAACAAUUACCUUUAUUUAUUCGGUAAUUUACCGUCGAUAAUGAAUUCGGUAUAUUUUCAUAAAAAUAUUAAAUCUGAGCCGAUCUUUGUAAAUUCAUAACAAAUCCAUCUUAACUUAGAAAAAUAUGAAAUAAAUUUUAUUAUUUUUCUAAAAUUAAGAUCUAUCUAAUGAUAUGUAGUUUAGAGUUGUUCGAAUAUUUUAUGGAUCUUAUUUAUAGUUUUUUCCAAUUAUUACUCUUAAUGCAUAUAUCCAUAAUUUGCACGAGGGUCUCAGAAGGACUAGGAUGAUAGAAAUUAUGUUGACUUUCUAAUUAUAUGUAUGUGUGCACGGUGCUUGUCACUUGUAUUUGUGAGUUUAAUGUCUUGUGAGAUCUAUUUACUACGACCGUCUUCUAAGAGGAUUUCAAAUACAAUUAUGUUAUUUAAGGAGUUGGUUACAAGAUAUUCAUCUCCCAAACUGGAUUUACUGAGAUGGUCAAACGUGGUACAUCUCCCAAAACAUAUUAAAUUGGCCCGGCUAUUCAAACUAAAAUAUAUUCUCUAAUUGAUACGCACAAAUUGUUGUAUGAGAUCGAUCUAAUCAUAUACUUAUAUGGUUAGUGUCAUGUUCUAUGGAUUGGUAUGUUUAUCGUUUUGGUAAUUUUUGAUCAUUAUCGAUGCACUUUCGAUCAUAUACUUCAGUUAUUGACACUAUCGAAAUAUCAAUGCCAUUUUCAUCUUCGGCAAUAUCGUAUCGUUUUCAUUUUCGUCAAAAUAAUUUGAAAGUGAAAGUGGUGGAGCCUUUUUUUGAUUGCUUCCGAUCGUUUUCAACCCUAGUUGGUCGAAACAGAGUUCAAGUUCUGAUUUCAACUCUGAUCGUUAGAACUAACUCCACAUCUGCCAACACUCAAAACUGGCCAAGGCCCAAGUAUUAGGAGCGCAAAAUAGUCGCCUUGAAAACCUACUUAUCCAUCUCAAUAUAUAUAUGUAAAUUUCACACCAAACAAACCUUAGAUAUAUGUGUACCUAAAUAAGACCAUGUGUCCAUGAGUCCAUCUCAAUUCACAUGUCACACUUACACAUAUAGAUUAUUCAGGCCAUGUAUUCUGUAUUUAUCUCAGUGAAUUGAGAUGGGUACGUACAUGUAUAUCUAAAUAAGACAUAACAAUGAGACGAUAUACAGUCAAACAGGUUGAAGUUCAUAUCCAUAUCGUGCGAGAGAGAGAAAAGACGAGAGAAUCAGGCCUGUGCAAUAGAUGCACGCGCUGGCAAGACAUGCAUAUGAAUCAUGUCAUCAGCAUGUUGGAUGGAAAAAGGCAUGUUGGUCUUGCUAUUUAUCUAAUUACUAUUUCGAGUACAAUAAACCGCCCAUGCGGCCGAUCGCAGCAUCGACAGCGUGGUUGGUUCACGUGUAAGGAGGGACUUAUAAGAACGAAAAAAAAACUGAGUGGACUUUUGUAAGAUAACGAUUAAUGAACCCAAGAUGUGUCAAUAGUCAAUGCAGGCAAGUUGGGUACAUUUGGUAUAUGCACAGUUACUCAGUUAGACGAAUCGAUGAAGGUCCGUAACAAGUACAAUAAUGGGCUCUAAGUCUUCUUAUAUGGAAGAGAAAGACAUCAAAAAAUAGAGGGGUUGUCUCUCAUGCAAGACAAAAGGAUGAAAGAGACAAGAGAUUUAUCUAAGAGCCAGCCUUAAAGUUAGCUUUAUAGUUUAUAAUAUGAGUGUGUUUAUUGUUAGCUAUACCUAUAGAUGACAUGGUAAAUAGUUAGAGCCAACUAUUAUUAAACUUGCUCUAAAGCGUUCGUGUGCAAACAAAAGCUGAAAAACAUUAAGGCCGGCAUGCAGAAACCACACCGAAAUUCGACGCGUGCAUACAGCUUUAAACGGUCGAAUAUGCCCCAAAACAGAGACCGUAGAUUCAUUAAACACCUUACGACUACUACCACUGCUAAUCUUGCACAUUACAUCCUUAAUACCGUCAUGACUUUGUUCUCCUACUUUUUACUGGCACCCAAUACUAGUACCACUAGCAGAAAGGCAGCAAGAGCAACACACAAAAAAGAGGCCAGGGAUAGGGCCACUCCUCGUCUCCUCCACUCGGGACUUUUUACAAGCAGCUGACGAAGCAGAGCACGUUUCAGCAGCAGCAGUCGGCUGCAGACCUCUCCGGGCCCCCAGCUCCCAGCUGCAAAAACAAGUGCGUGUCAAUCGACCGACGGGAACGGGACCUGCGAUGCCCGAGCGAAAGCUUCACUCGCGAAACGGACGGUCAGGGCCCCCACGGGGACUCACCGUCACCGACGAGGCCGGCACGUCGGAGCUCUUGAGCACGCGCAGCCUCUUGGCGGUGGCCACGAACAUCCUGCGGCGGACAGGGGCGGGACGGCACCCGGGCACGUGAGACGGGAAUUCUAUGAGAGUGACCGGGGUGACGCGGACGUGUUGUUGUGUGUGCGAAGCUGCGAAUGGGAGGGAGGAGGGGAUGCUGGUGCCGGUUUCCACUUACUCCCAGGGGACGUCGCCGGCAAGGACCCUGUCGCCCUCGUCGUCCUCGUACACCAGCGUGUAGUCGCCGCCGAUCACGGGGCCCUCCCCCUCCUCCUCCUCCUCGCCACCCGCCGUGGCCGCUCGGUCCCUCUGAGCUGCGCGAUCGGUGGAAAAAAAAAACUAGCUUGAUGCGACGACGGACAAGCAUGCACAUGGCGGCGACACACGCAGUACGGCGGCGUCCGUUUUGGUUUUGGAGGAGACAAGACAAGGCGGGUACGUACCGGCAAGCAGGCCGCGGAAGAGCUUGCCGACGGCGGCGGAGAGGUCGGCGUAGCCGCCGUACGCCGUGAGGUCCACCUUGCGCCCGAUCGGCACGCCGUCCAUGUUGAUCUUCACGAACAGGCCGUCCUUGGCGCUGCCCUCCUGGCGGGUGUGUUUCCCCGACGACGGCCUGGAGGAGGAGGCGGCCAGGUUCCUCCGGAACGACCGCACCGGCGGCCACCCCACCACCGGCGCCGCGCCCGCUGGCCUGACCCUGGCGGAUUGAAUUGAACGACCAUUAAGAAAAAAAAUGGACCUUUAGACAGUUGCCUUUUAGAAAAGCGAACAGAGAGAACAACAGCAACACCCGGCAGCCCGGCACCACCACCACCACCACCACCCACCUUGCCUUGGAGACAUUGCUCCCACUGGCGGCCUGGAUAGCGUAGGCAGAGGCCUCGGCGGGCUCCUCCCUGGCGGCGUCCAAACCUGAGGCUACCAAACGUCAGAACAUGGAACCACGUAGCCAUUUGCGACAGGAAACAAGAAGUGUACUACUAGCUCCAAUCGUGGCAGACGAACACCUGAAGGCCGGGCGAAGUAGGCCGGGAGGCCGAGGCUGAGCUCGAGGCCGCUGUCCAGGGCCUCCUCUCCGGCUCCGAGCGGGCCGCGCCACGCCAUGAUCGCCGCCGCCCGCGUCCCUGAAGCUCGCGGUCACGGUCACGGGUCACUGGCACGACUCAAGCAGAAGCAGGCAGAGAAGCGAGCAGUGGUUCGGCAAGAGAGGGUGUGUGUAUAUAAACGAGGAUGGCGACCGGGGAGGAAAGGCUGCCCCCGCCUGCCUCAGCGAGAGAGAGAGAAGAGUAUAGGAGAGCGCCAGAGCGGUGAACAGAAGAGGAGGCAGGAAGACGACGGAAGGAAGCACAGGUGCUGCGCCUCGCGGUGCCCGAGGUGACCAAAAGGCGGCAAGGGAACAAGAGGUCAGAAGGCUCCCUCCCUGAAACGUACACGUACUACUACGUGACGGCCGAGCCUCAAAGCUGCAGGUGUGAGGGAAUAAGGUCCAGUCGCACGGACGAAAGACAGCGGACAACAAGUACUAGGCUCCUCUGUUCCGUUCCGUCCGUCGCCCGCACCCUCUCUCUCUCUCUCUAGCUCGCAGUCGCACAGCCGGCAGCUAGAGCUCGGUCGCUGCCUGCUUCCCUCUUGCCUGUAGCUCUACAGUAGCAGAGGAGCUAGCUACUGUAGUACAAGAUAUGCAGGGCGAGAUUCCAAGGAGCACAAGGAAAGCCGGCAAGAGCUACAGAGGGCUAUGGUGGCCGCCCCGCCCGCCAAGCAAGAAGAAGCAACGGCUGCCUACCGAUCGAGAUCGCCGUCGGUCGUCGGUCCGUCUCUCUUCUAUCUCUCUCUCGUGCGCUCCAGGUCUAGGGAGGUUGCCAGGUGUGUGUGAGAGAGAGUGUUGCGGUGCUCGUCUUGCCUCUUGCCCCUUAUAAAUAAAAAUGGCGGCAAAAAGCGAAACGAAUCUGCUCCAUGGCACGCACGCAUCGCUUCAUCCCUCCCUCCGCCGUGUUCCUCUCCUUUUUUUUUCAUUAUAUGAAAACCUUAACGGGGAUACAGACGGAUCUUCGCUGCGCAAAGCAAACUCUACGCAUUACACUAUCCAGCGACUAAUAAAAAGAAACGGAGGGAGUACUACGUACGAGUAUCUCGCAGUGUGCACGGCACUCCCUACACGACCUCACAAAACGACGAGCGUUCUUACGUUCACUCGAUCCGAGCUCACAAAAUGACCGCAGAAACGAGUUGCCGUUGCCGAAAUGCGGCAGCUAGCUCCGUGGCCACUGGCCACUGGCGUUUGCUGUUUGCACUACUAGUACGUACAGUAGAUGUAGACGCGUCAUGCAUGUGUGAACGUGACAAAAAACGGCGGUGCUGGUGCUGGUGCUGGAUAAAAGAAGAAGGCAAGCAAGGCCAUCGGAUAAGACGAUAAGCUCCGAAAUUCUGGCCAUGGCCGCAGCAUUUGGUCGUCUGGGUUUUCCUCUCUCUCUUUUUUUAUAGCCUGUAAAAAAGAAAAGAAAUUGCAGGAUGCAGAUCGAGCGCGUCAAGCUGACUUUGCAGGAUUUUGGGGGGUGGGGGGGGGGGGGGGGGGGGGGAAGAAACAGGACAGGAGUUUGGCGUGAUGUCAUUCUGUCUAGUGAGGGAGUAUUAUAUCAUGCUGUUUAUACGGAUCCUGUUUGGAUCCUUUUCUACGAUUGGCUACAGACACUGACACGACUUUUAGUUAGUCCACCCUCAAACCAAGGACCAGUUUAUUAACUAGACAAUUCAAAUAAGAUACCUAUUCGAAUGAGAGAGAGAGAGAGAGAAUAUAAGAGUCAUCUCGUAUUCUCGUAGCAGCAAACAACAGAUAGAACGGUUUGCAAGUCACAAACUGUGCCAAAAAGGCUGAUGCCCGCUCGCCAAGGCGCACAGGCACAGAUGCAGAUGCCCGCGGCUGCAGAGCCUGCUGCUAUCGCGGGGGAUUGGCAGUAGCCCACACAGGCACACAGACAGAGUAGCUCCGUCACUGCUGGCCGGGUCCCACACCGCCGGCACGCGAAGCAGCCAACGGGGAGACGAAACGUGCUGCUGCCUUUCCUGGGUCCGUGUCACCGCGGCGGGGCUCACAUGGCUGCCUGGAGGCGACGGGUGGCUCAGGCUCAGGCCGCGUCGUCGCGACUUGACCCCGACCGGACCUCCCCCCCAAAUCUGGCACCAUCAUUUCCCCUAGUGCACCCUACAGCACUAGUACUCCUACUCCGGAUCUACUAGGAGUAUAGACCACCCCAUCCCCAUUGGCGAUAGAGCACCAUCGACUCUCAAAAAGGUACCAUAGCCUCCGUAGUAUAGUACUACGUAGCAGUUGGCCAGUACCACACCUCCGUGAAACAGAUCGCCAAGAAAGACAAGCUCCGGUUUUACCGCACCCAUUUCUGUGCUGCCGCAUGUGUCCCUCUGUAAGUCUGUAUACUGCGACCGAUUUUGUUUCUGAUAUGUGUCGCUCUGCUCUGCGUCACCGAUAAGAGGGCGAAAAAAAAAAAUGUCGCCCGCUGCAGCAGAUAUUUACUGUAUCAUGGACUCUACAUCGUUUCAUGUAGAGUGGAUGACUACGGCUAGCCUAAAUCUAGAGCUGACGAGCGAGAUACGAUAACACGACAUGUCUCACGUAGAACAGGAGAUAAGAUCACGAAUAGUUUGGAACCGGGAACAGCCACUUUAAUCAUCUAUGCAUGAAAUUGAGCCCCCUAGAAAAGCAACCUUUUGAGGCAUGAAACAACCACUUUAGUAACUCCAAAAUAAAACUAAGCCAAAAAAGCUAAGAUUUAAAUACUCGGAAUUCACACGUGGAAUCGUAAAUUUGAGUCCCGCGCCAACAACGAAAGGGACGAGCGCCUCCCUCCCGGACAGAAGCCAUCUCCCACUUGCAUAUGGCAAUCAUAUGAGUUCGUGGGUUCAUCGGGCGUCAUCAUAUCCGGCGGCGGGAAGGUGAGAAAGCGCUGCUGAGUUCCGCGGCCAUGGCCCAUAUAUGUCCAUGAUGGCCGCCGCCGCCGCCGCUUUUGAUAUGGCGAAGCCUCCACGAGGGGCAUGGCCCAUGUGGUGCGGCGACGCGCGCGCACGGCAUGGACGCACGCAUCGGCAGACGGCUCCUAGUAGAGGCGGUCGGUGAGCGCCGGAGCCUCUCUGCCUCGCGCGUACUCUGUGCCCCAGCUGCGCAUUAUUUUGUGGUGCGGGAAUCUGAUAGAUGAGAUCUCGCACGUUUUCAGACGAGGGUUGGGUCGGGGAUGCAGGCGCGACGCGCGGUGCAAUGCACCACAUGCGGCAAUUCGCGAUGGAGGAGCCGCCGGCCGGGGUGGUCCGUCCGACGCCGAUCGGAUCCGAGUGGCGGUACUGCGCUGUCCACGUCCUAUCGGCCGCCGGCCGGUGCGCAUGCAGCAUCUGCGGCUGCGCUGUUCCUCCCCACUACUACUAGGAGUUGUGCUGUGUCGACCACCGGCAACAGCCCCCCCGAUGGCGCCCUCGUGCUGAUCGGCGCGCGCGGUGGGGUGGGGGCACCUGGCACCACCCACCAAGGCACCCCCGCCGCCGCAAAAGCCUUUUUUGGCAAACCGCCGCAUGCAUGAUCAGAUACGGCCGGUGGCCGGGCCCGUCCGUCCCCCCGCCUGGGUGUCCUGUCUGUCCUGGUCCCUUGAUGGACAAGUACCAGCGUUUCUUUUUCUGCCCUACGAGCAGAGCACCGCCGAGCUGCGCGUGCCCUGGGAACAGUUCACUCGUCGAUAGGACACCCACGUCUGUCCGACGCAUCUACCUGUAUUGUUCUUUCUACAACGACCACUGGAUUACUGAAACGCAAAUUUUGAAGCGUGUCCGCGCCGUCGCAUUGUAGCAGAUUGUUCUUCUUCAUCGAGAAAAAAAGAAAAAGAAAAGAGAGGAGCAUCACUUCACUGAUGCGCGCGCCCCCGUCGAUCUACCGGACCGAUAGUUUUGUCUAUACUUGUGAUUUAUAUUAUCUUUCUAACCGAUAUAUAUACUAACUACUACCUGAUCGAUUCCUUCUGUCGGGUCAUUCAGAUGGCACUCACUCAUCUCUUUCACCAAAGAAAAAAGAAGAAGAGAGAAGGAAAAAAGGGACGGCGGCGGCACUCAUCUGCCAUGCGCGCGGGAGCUUAAUCCUGUCGGGGGAAAUGGGAUUACGUCUACCUUUUCCAGAUGCUCACGCUAUUCUAGCUACCACUGUCCGUCCACUCGCAGGUUCGGCUCAGGGAAUGAGACUGAAACCAAACGCAGAGAUCGAUUAGCAUCUUUUUUUUUAUCGUCGCGCUGCAUGCCCAAUGAUUGUGCAUGUCUUGUCUCGAUGAUCUUAGAACCCUGAUACGGUGCGUCUCUGAUGUGGCUGCAAGUAAAGCGACAGGUGUUCUAGGAGCCUUUAGAUCAGCCGGCGCCGCAACGCGAGCAAACGGAUCUUUUGUUCACCUUCUCCGGUUGAUCCUGCUGCAGCAUCAGCAUUCGGAUCCGGUGCCGGCAUGCUUAUCGCCUUCUACUAUAUAUAUACACACCACAGUAUGUAUGCGUUUGCCUGAACGUGAUGUGUGGUGUGAGCUCGUGGAUUACGUCUAUAACCUGGACGAUAUAUACAUCCGUUCUCGAAUAUUUAUCGUUAGAUAGUCUAUUUUUAAAAUAAAACACGAUAAAUAAAAAUAUUUGUCGUCGGCUAAUUUAUUUUAAGCUAAAACACGAUAAAUAAAAGGGACUAUGUUAAUAUUAGUAGGUCGAAACCUGUCUUACUUCUGUCCUAUUGAUAACGGGACUGAGGUGAACUGGACUCAAAAUGAGUGCCGGCCCACUGCACAGAAAAGCUAGGAUUAUGGGCUUGACCAUGUCCUACAGAAAUAAUUCAUUUUCCAGAUGCUUCCAACAGUUUACCCCGCCCAAUAGAACGAAUCCGUGUAAUACACAACGAUCACACGCACACACACCGGACAGUCCGGUGGUGCACUGGACAGUGCACUGUUCACUGUCCGGUGCACCUAGUCGUUGGUCUGACAAUGCAGCUGACCGUUGGUGCGCAAGCUUUUUACGCCGGACAGUCUGGUGGUCUUUUCUCCACAGUGCCACCUGGAACUAGCCGUUGGGCUACUGUUCCCUGGUGCACCGGACAGUCUGGUGCUCCAGACAAGACAGUCCGCAGGGAACACUUCCUUUGUUUCUUGGACUUCGCUUGAUCUUCAUAAUGUCUUCUUUUGAGGUGUUGCUUUCCUAAAUGCCUUGGUCCAAGUAACUUUAGCAUCCUGUGAGCUACAAACACAAACACUAGCAAAUUCAUUAGUCCACAGGUUAUGUUGAUCAUCAAACACCAAAACCUAUUUAGCUAAAUGGCCCAGGGUCCAUUUUCCUUACACUGCCAAAGAGUGGUGACCAAGAGCAAGAUUAGGGAUAAGUUUUGAAACAUUAUCCACCAUGUCAUGAAUGGUGAGGUAAUGAAUGUUGUCGUGUUCAUGAUGUGUCAGCUAAAUGAUCUCAAGAUGGAUAAGAACCAAAACAUGACAUAUGCUCCAUAUAUUAUGUCCCUGAUUCAUGCCAAAACAAGAGUUGAGGGUAGGUGUGAGAUAGCCCAUACUCCCUUCAGGCCCUUUAAGAAUGAAACUGGAUUUCUCACUAGGCUUCUCACUCCCUUCCCUGAUGAUAAGGGAGUAGCUGGGGAUGAUGUAGCAUCAAUUCAUGAGACAGAUCCAGCUCAACAGAUGCCUCCUCCUCCACCUCCUCAGCAUGAGCAGUUCUCUGGCAGCCUACUCUAGGCUAUUUUGAUACAUACUUUCAGUAGAUGCAGCAUGGGAUUCAAACCCAUAUGGAUGGUAGAUUCCAAGGCAUGAUGACACACAUGGAUGACAGAUUUGAUGCCAUGCAGACUCAUUUUGAUGGCCUGUACUCUGCAAUGCGGUCAAGGCUCUGCACUAUUGAUGAACAGUUUGAUGGGUUGAACUCUGAGUUUGUUGGUCUUCGCUCUCACAUCCAGGACACCAUUCAUGAUCCAAUCAUGAACAUAAUUAACAACAUGCAACAUAGUUUUCAAGAUAAUAUGAGUGCUCUGUCAAGUCAAUUUGAGGCUACCAAUAAUAGCAUUCACGCACUUGAUCAGAGGCAACAACAACUCCAGAAUGAUUUCAGUUGGUUCACCUCAUAUUUCGAUAGCUUCAACUCUCAUUAUUACAACAUGUAUUCGCGUCCUCGCCGGGUGGCCAGUGAGGUCCCUCUUUUCUUGCAAAUUGAUGCCUAAGUGGGAGAGAUGAAGACGAAGAUGGGGAUUUUAGUUAGGGGGAGCUCGAUGUGGACAUUUAGACUUUGCAUAUCUAUUAUCUACAUUUUAUGUUUUUACGCAUAUAUGUCAAGAGAUUUUAUGUUUGUGGACAAAUAUGUGGGGUUUCGAACUUUAUUUGUUAAAGUCUUAUGUUUCUAUUAGUUCGAUGAAUCCUAUGAGUGGUUGAUUGAGUAGUGACUAAAUUUACUGCGCUUAUUUCAUAUCAUAUUGCACUUAUAUGCCUCGAUAACCAUGUUUGUAGGAAAGAUCUCAACCAAAACUCUCAUCUAUUAUGUGUGUGAAAUCUUCAACUGAAUAUAUCAAGCACACAUGUAGGGGGGCUAUUCCUUCACCUUGAGUUUUUGUUAUGACUUAUCUAUCCUUCAGAUGGAACUUCAAAUCAAGAUAAGUCACUCAAAGCUCACCUCAAAUCCUUCUUAUACCUAAUGUGUGAGGAAGGUUUGAAAAACUGAAACUACUCUGUAUGAAAUGUGUAGUGUUGUCAUCAAUUACCAAAAAGGGGGAGAUUGUGAAUCAUCUAGGCCCCUUAGUGAUUUUGGUAAUUAAUGACAAUAAUUUGUGGACUAACAAUUUUUGAAGAAAUAAGAAUGCAGGUUGGACCACAUAGGAAAAUAUGUCUUGGAGACUUAGGGCGUGUUUGGUUGCAAUGACAGGACAAGACAGGUUGGGACGAUCCCUCAAAUAAGAUUGUUUGGUUUAGGGUCAAGGUUGGGACAGGACUAUCCCAGUGUUGUCCCCAGUUGUCCCUCAAAAUUGGAGGGACGAGAGAGAAUGCCAGAGGACGUCCCUGUCCUGGUUGUCCCGCAACCAAACGCACAAGCAUUGACUGUGGAUCAAGUGAAGGCAAAUGUACAAUGUAGGUUUUUGCUUUUGUCAGUCACCAAGUGUUUUAGAGAAGAAAUUGACCGGAUUAGUAGGCUAGAUAGCCAUACUAUAAAGAGGGGUCAAUGUAACACCACUGAUGUUACGAGAACAAAAACCUUGGCAUGUCAUCAUAUGCACUUGCAUUCACUAGGGUAACAAUUUGCAAAAAAGGUGAUGUUGUGUUGUUUUGAAGAGAGCAAGAGAAGUUUAGAGACCUUGUUUGGAAUCUAGGAUAAGCAAACAAUUUUAAACUAAUGGCACUUUGGACAUGAGCUCUAUAUACCAAAAAAGGGAUUUGUGUUCAAGAUGUAACCUUGCUUUUAGGAGAAUGGAAUAAGUUGAUGAAACACUUGAAGUAAAUAAGUCUAAUUUUAACUCUAAACUAACCCAAAAGUGGAAUUUCAAAGCUAGAAAAUAUUGGCUAAAAGUCCAUAUACCAAAGUUGUAGGACUUGAAAAAGUGAACAACUUUCUUACUUUGUGUUUUCUAAGUUGUAUGGAAGAAUUCGAAUUAAAUUGCAAAAAUUCAGUUUGGUCAGGAAUCAGCUAAAAAUAGUUUUAUUUAUCUGUUUUUGGACCCCGUAGUUUUUAA
rnacentral:lncRNA from 1 species